GUACACAUCUUUCUCUACACCCUCACAUCUGAGUUCAUCUUGUUCUCCCAUUUUGGCAUUGUUGUUUGACACCACUUUUUUUCCCUUCUGUUUGCGUGACUAUUCUGUUCAAAUCUAAUCUGGUGUGCAGUGAAUGUGGUGAUGACAUUCGGGAGGCAGCCGCCGGGAUCAUGUUUGCAGCUGGGAGGUGCGGCGACCUGCCGGAGCUGACGUUUGCACGAACCAUACUGACAAACAAGUUUGGAGGCGAGUUCGCAGAGAUGGCUAAGGAGGGCGCUGGCGUCGUCGACCCCAUGGUAACUAGAACAACAUCCUAUGUUCAUUCAUGGCCCCAUCACAUCCAUACCAGAAACGGUGAGAGCUGGAAUUUACACGGUUGGGUUUGUGCUACCCUUUCAGUUGGUAUGGAAGCUAACUAGCAACAAAGGAGACAUGGAGCUCAAGAAAAAGGUGGUGAAAGAGGUUGCUGCUGAGAACAAUGUGCUAGUGGACUUCUCUGAGCUCCAAGAGGUUGAGCAUGGCGGCAGCGGCAACGUUCCGCACCAUCAUAAUGUCAGCCAUGAAGGCAUAUACCAAACUGACAUGGAUGGAACUUCAGAGCCAUCGCACGACGAGGAUCCAUGUGAUACUUCCAACUCUGAUGGAGCAAGCAAUGGGCAUCCGAAACAAGAGAACACAAGAACUUCGGUGCACACAAGAAGAUGAACUUUCAGAGCAUCCCAGCUCAGAUGCAACAAUCCAGAAUGAGGAAGUGCUAUGUUUAGCUUCCAAACUUACCAAGUUAUGGGUGUGCACAUGCUAAAUCUGUAACUGUAAAGCAACUAACAAUGUCCAAUUAAUUGAGUUAGCAAAACUUUGCGUUUCUUCGUGAACAGACACAGCAGCAGCCACCAGCAAUUAUGAUCUACAUGAUCGCUAAAAAGAGAAGCCCACCUUGCCACGUAAUUUACAUACAACCUAAUACAGGUUCUUGACCAUAGUGCCUGUUAAAAUAUGUGAAAGAUCCCCGCUUCAUGUGGUUUUUAAGCUUUGAAAAUUCUGUGUGUGGCAUAUAUUUGUAAAAUCUACUUUCUUAUGAUGUACAUGUACUUGAUGGAUCAAUAUGAGAUCGCUACAAAUGAUAUUGACAGGUUUAUUAUGCACCGAGAAAAUCACAUGCCACUAAACCAUGUGAUUUAAACUUAAUGUGUUUUAAAAUGAAUGACAUAAAUAAAUGUCUAAGGUGUCCUACCCAAAAUUAAAGGUACUACAUAGGUAAUCAGUAAUCUAGUCCGAAGAAAGCCAUAAGCUAUCUAGGCUGGUUUUAGAUGUACAAAUUAAAUAUAGAUCAUUAAUUUGCGCCACCGAAUGGUGAUCAUGGAGGGCGACAAGGUCACCACAUCUCACCCUCGUCAACGACACACAAAGGGUAAUGUAAGGUCACGAUCUACCACACCACCAUAGACAUACUCGUCGUCGCUCACACACACCAACUAACAACAGUGGGGCGAUGUUAAUGCAAGUGAACUUGAAGGCGGCACGAUGGUGGUACAACGUCGAGCUAAGAGAAAGACAAGAAUACCGUCUACCACCACCGAUUGUCUAGCGCUCGCCACAAUCCUACGCUUUGUGACACCCAACAUGUUGGUUGGUCAUCGAUAGAGGAGAACAUCAAUAACACGGGCGAUGGUUAAGCAGAUCUGCAUCGAGGUCUAGUCGGUGAGUGAGGCCAAUACACAAUAGCUCCAUCAUGACUUUAGCACCUUGUUAUGGAAGGAGGCAGAGAAUACGGAAGAUUUCACAAACCACAUCAUCCAGCGACGCAAACAUCAAGAAGCACAAUGGUCGCGAGCGAGGCCGUCGAGAGCGUUGGCUCCGCAUCACGCGAAGGCUACAAGGGCUAGUAUGGUGAUGGAUAGGCUCCCAACCAUGACCAUGCAAGAGCCGUAAAAAAUGGCCAUUGUGCUAGGGAUUGUCUUAGAAAGCCCAAGGACGAGGCCCACAUCACGCAAAGAGACUUGGAGUCCACGUUGUAGAUGUCAUUAAAGAGGAUGUAUUUGAGCUGCUUAGCAGUAUGAUGAGGAGGAGGCUUAGAGGUGGAGUUGUACGUAGUCACUAUUCAUCCCCAAACGACCACUAUUCUUUUUAUCGUUGUCGUCAACAGGUUAAAGUAUGGAAUUCAUAAAGGUGUAUGUGUACUUAUAAAUAUUUUGUUCUUCGUCUUAGUUUAGUCUUGUCAUAGUUGGAAUUGUAAUACAUUGAGAAACGCAUACUAGUUGGAGGCUACAUCAUUGUGGCUGCUUAGUGGCACUAUCGUGUCUGAGGGAGCACGAGAAGAGGCAGGGACACCAUAUGUGGGAGGAGUACCAUAGGUGGGAGAGAACACAGAAGGAGCACCGUAAGGAGGAGGAUAUAGAUAAGGAGCACCAUACAAGCCAUAUGGAGGAGCGUAUGCGCACGAAAGAUGACACUGUAAGUAAAAGUUUGUGAAGGACGAGCAUCGGUGGAAUGGGGGAUAUGGGGGAGGAGCAUACGGGUAAGAAAAGAGAGUUUGAGGAGUUAGGCUAUGGGGACGAUUGAGAGCACCUAGAGGCACUAGUAAGAAUGUGAUCAUCAGUGACGAUUUUCUAGUGACGCUGGUGACUUCAGUCACAGAUUGAUACAUUUCUAUGACCAAAUUGACAUCUUCGUCAACAAUUACAAGGGACGAAGAUUAGACUUGAAUAUUAAAGACGAAAAUGAAAGGAACGUCAUAGACGAAAAUGAAAGGAACGUCACAGAUUAAUUUGGCUUGAUCGGCUGACGUAAUGAUGAAAUAAAUUGGUCAUAGAUGAGUUUUAGUAAAAAACGGCCCACGUGUACACACCACUUGACGGCGUGGGAUCCUUGGCCUACAUGGGCCGCAGUUUUUUGGGACACAGCCCCCACCUGGCGACGCGGACCCGACCCAGUACGAAGCGGCAGUUAGUUAUUUGGCAAAAAAAGGUGCGCCCGCGGAGCUUCAAACCAGGGACCUGCGACUUGCGUUAAAUCGUUGCUACCACCAGACUAUGCACUUGUUCGUGUAUAUAAAGAAACUAUCCGUCUGUUAACAGGUGUUCCCAUCUUUCGUUAUGUUAACAGGUUUUCCCAGCCGCCAUUCUGCGAUCUGCAUGGUUCGCCUGUUCUGAUUGUUUCCUGCUGCGAUCUGCGCUUCUGCGAUCGGCCGUCAGGUUACGGCACACAACGACGCCGGCGUCUGUCGUCGUCCGCUUGAUCGGCAACUGGGUAGCAUCGUAGCGAACGAGCGAUCUUGUCGCCUGAUCCAUUGAUCCAACUGUGUUGGAAGAACGGCGUCGUCUGCAAACAGCGAGGCAGAGAAGCUUCGGGCGCGGCAAAGCAGCGGCGUCUUGCGCAUAGCUACGACAGGCGUGGACAGAACAGCGGCACGACGGGGAGAAAAGACAAGGUUUGAUGUGUUGUGUUUUUGACAAUAAGGUUCUAUGUGCGUUUGAAUUUUAUUUCAUAUAUGCAUGUGUUUGAUGUGGUUUUCAAUUUUGUUCAAUGUAAUCAUAGUUAUGGAGUUAAUGCAAGUUUUAAUUUAUUGUCAAAAUAGAUGGAUAGAAGAUGGGUUUAUGAGAAACAAUUCACACCUGCAUAUGUGAAAGGAGUUGAAGAGUUCAUGAAUUUUGUUACUGAAAGAUACCCAGAAGACACAGACAUUCGUUGUCCGUGCGUGAAUUGUCUUAAUCAAAGGUUGCGACCUCAGAGUGAAGUAGAAACUCAUAUACACAUUUAUGGAAUGUCAGCUACAUACACGAGGUGGAUUCAUCAUGGGGAGUCGGCAGAUACAGAAGUUGAGGGUAUAGAGGAGGAUGUCGAAGGAUAUGAUAAUGACUUUGGGAUACAUAUGGAUGUGGACAAUGAUGUUUACGAUGAUGAUCAUGGAGUACCUGAGAUGAUCGGUGACUUGUUUGCAGCGGCAGAGGCUGAUGGAGAAGAGCCAAGAUUUACAGGAGUUCUUGGAGAUUCAAAGAAGGCACUUAGUCCGGGUUCUAGCCAUUCAAAAUUUUCUUUUAUGGUGAGGAUGUUGUAUAUGAAGUCUCGUUAUCGAAUCAGCAAUACAGCAUUUUCAGCAAUGAUGAAGCUGAUGUCCGAUGGAUACCCUAACAGUGAGUUGCCAAAAUCAUAUAAUGAGGCCAUGAAAUAUCUUAAAGAAUUGGGCCUUGGAUACGAAAACAUCCAUGUGUGCAAGAACAAUUGUGUGUUGUUUCGGAAUGUUAAUGCUAAAUUGAAUGAGUGCCCAAUAUGCACGGAGUCUAGAUGGAAAGAUGAAACUGGUUCGAAGCGGGUUCCACAUAAGGUUUUGAGGCAUUUUCCACUGUUGCCAAGGUUGAAAAGAAUUUUUGCUUCAAAACAAACUUCAGAGGAAACACAAUGGCACAAGAAAGUGAGGAAGCCAGUCGCCAAUGUGAUGAGCCAUCCAGCUGAUGGGGAAGCGUGGAAGGACUUUGACCGAAAGUACCCAGGUUUUGCAAAUGAUCCGAGGAACCUGAGGCUAGCCUUAGCUACCGAUGGAUUUAAUCCAUUUGGCAACAUGAGUACCCAGUACAAUAUGUGGCCAGUGCUUGUGACACCGCUUAAUCUCCCACCAUGGGAAUGCGUGAAUCCAACAAACUGCUUUAUGUCAUUACUCAUCCCAGGUCCAAGAUGUCCAGGAAAGGAUUUUGAUUUGUUCCUUGAGCCCCUAAUUGAAGAACUGCUGAAGCUAUGGAAGGGUGCCAAGACCUAUGAUGCAUGUACUGGUAGGAAGUUCGACCUUCGUGCUGCUGUACUAUGGUGUAUACAUGAUUAUCCAGCGCUGGCCACGUUAUCUGGGCGAACAACAAAAGGGUAUUAUGCAUGUAUUUAUUGCGACAAGAAUCCGUUGUCUAUGGCAAUAAGGAACAAGUUAUGCUACAUUGGACAUCGUCGUUACCUUAAAAGGACACAUUCAUGGCGGAAUAGCUUGGAUUUCAAUGGUAAGCGUGAAAACAAAGUUGUGCCUGGCAGGUUCACUGUGGAUGAGGUCCUACAAGAGCUAGAGAAGGUGAAAGAUGUCAGGCCAGGGAAGCAGACUGACAUUACUGGAAAUAAAAGGAAGCGUAGUAGUGACGGUCCAAAGAUUUAUAGCCGGAAAUCUGGGUUGUGGCAAUUGCCAUAUUGGAAAGAUUUGAUGCUUCCACAUAAUCUCGAUGUGAUGCACAUAGAGAAAAAUGUAUGUGAAAAUAUUCUUUGCACACUACUUAGUAUACCAGGCAAGUCCAAGGACACACAUAAUGCAAGGCUAGAUUUGUAUGAUAUGGGCAUAAGACCUGAACUGCACUUGCAACAAGAUGGCAACUCGGCCUGCAGGGCUCCACCUGCUCCAUAUGUGUUGGGGAAGGAUCAGAAAGUCGAGUUUUGCAAGUUCCUCAAAGGUAUCAAGUUUCCUGAUGGAUUUGCGGAUAACCUAGCAAGAUACAUAAGUGAAGAUGGUUCAAAGGUGGUUGGAAAACUGAAAACACAUUCUUGCCACAUACUCCUACAGAGAAUCAUAGCCGCUGGCCUUAGAGGACUGGUGAGGAAGGAUGUAUAUGAAGCAAUUGCAGAGCUGGGGACCUUCUUCAGGGAACUAUGUAGUAGAAAUCUACGGAUAGAUGUUGUGCAACGGCUAAAAGGAGAUAUUCCAUUGAUCCUAUGCAAGCUUGAGAAAAUCUUUCCACCUGCCUUCUUUGAUGUCAUGGUGCACUUGAGUGUCCAUCUUCCCGAUGAGGCAAUGCUUAGAGGACCUGUUCAGUAUGGAUGGAUGUACCCAAUAGAAAGGCGACUAGGCACUUUGAAAAAUUUUGUAAGGAACAGGGCUAGGCCGGAAGGAUCAAUUGCUGAGGCAUAUAUGGCAAGUGAUACCUUAACAUUUUGUUCUAGGUACAUGAAGGAUGUUGACACUAGAUUUAACUAGGAUGAUGAUAGUGGUACAGAGAUGCCAUUGCCUAAUGACAUGUCUGUUUUUAAGCAUGGUGCUACUCUUGUUGGAGCUACUAAGACUGAGUACAUUGAUGAUGCUAUCAUGAAUAAGUUAGUUUGGUAUGUGCUACAUAAUGCUGAUGAAGUACAGGAAUAUUUGACGUAAGUUAGUUUGGUAUGUGCUACAUAAUUUAUGUUAUGUUUAUUAAAUUUGAAAAUAUGCUUAUGAAUAAAGUAUGCCAUGCAGUCUGUACAGGGAGGAGCUAUCGCAGCAAGGUGCACGUCCAAAUGAUGUUGAUCGAAUGGUUCAACAAGGAUUUGCAAAGUGGUUUAUGUCCCAUGUAAGUCACUAAACUUUUAUGUUAUAGGUUUACUAAAGUUUUGGGUAUGCAUAUGUAAUUGCUCAGCUGAGUAAUUUUGUUGCAACAGGUUGAGAAGAAGCGUAAUGAGAAUCCAGAAUUGGUUAGCGAAGGACUGUGGGCACUGUCAUGUGGCCCAGCUCGGCGAGUUAAGACUAGUACAGCUUGCAAGAUUAAUGGAGUGCGGUUUAGCACAGUGGAUCAUGAGAAGUUCAUGCAGACACAAAAUAGUGGUGUAAUGACUGAAGGUGAACAUAAUGGGGAGAACAUAGAUUUUUAUGGUGUCCUUAAAGAGGUAAUUGAGUUACAAUAUAACUCGAAUUAUCAAGUUCGUCGGUCGGUGGUUGUAUUUCGAUGCGAUUGAUACAACCAAGUAGGAAAGACUGUGGGCAUUCGAGAUGACAGCCAUUCAAAUCCAUCAAUGUGCAGUCAUUUUGGUACAAGUCCGAUCCUUUUAUCUUGGCAGACCAAGCGAAAAAGAUAUUUUACCUGCAAGACACAACUCCACAAUGUAAAGAUUUCCGAGUUGUGCAGAAAUUUGAACAUAGGAAUAUUUAUGAUGUGGCUGAAAAAUAUGAGGGCAGUAAUGAUGUGCAUCAGGAUGAUUAUUGUUCUGAUACAGAGCAUAUAGUGCAAGAAGGUGAUGAUAAUUAGGUUCUGCACAAUGUUGAAGGUGGAGAAGCCAGUCUAAUUGAAGGCAAUUUAGAGGAACUAAUAAGAAAAAAGAAGGAAGCUGCUAUUAUUCUUGAAGAUAGUGAGGAUGAGGAGGAAGAUGAUACAAUGUUUCAAUAUUUUAAUGAUGGUGGCGACGACAACAAUGAUGACAUGUCCAUAGAAGAUGAAGGUGAGGAUUUCUAGUAUUGAUAGUUGAUUUAUGAAUUGUUUAGUUCAGAUUAGUACAGCAUACUGAAUGUGUGUCUGAAAUUCAGUUAAUGUUUAGAUGAUACAAUGUAUUUUCUGUAUUUUCAGAACUGAAUGUGUGUCUGAAAUACUGAAUUUGGGGUGAACUGAAUGUGUAUUCUGUAUUUUCUGUAUUUUCAGAACUGAACAUCUGAACACUUAAUAUCAGAGAAAAGAUUGCAUGGUUAUUACUGAUACUGCUAAAGGGAGACAUAAAGUGGUAACAGACUAACAGUAAUGGCAAUAUAGUAUAGCUACCUCGGGUAACAGACUAACAGUAAUGGUAUGGCAAUAUGGCAAUAUGGCAACAGACUAAAGUGGUAACAGACUAACAGUAAUGGUAUGGCAAUAUGGCAAUAUGGUAUAGAGAGACAUAAAGUGGUAACAGACUAAAAGAUUGCAUGGUUAUUACUGAACACUUAACAUCCUGCAGAAGGCUUGAUUUAUAUCUCAUUACAUGUUAGCAACAUCGACUGGUUGUAGUUACAUAUUCAUUAAAAUAUAUAACCAACAUCAGAUAUACGCAGAUCAAGAUAGCUUGGUCUCUGGAAGUAAACAAUGUAUAUUAUUAAAUAUUAUUGUGCUUUAUGAAAGAAUGUUGAGGCUGCUCUUGACAUGAAUUAUGUACCUCGACAUCAGAUAUACGCAGAUCAAGUUGGCGAUACAUGUAAAAUUCCAAAGUAAAUGAGGGAUUCUGAAUCUGCAUAUAAUGAACAGCGUUAAAAAGUGGACCAAACUAUGAAAGGCAACAUCAAGUUAUUGAUGCAAUGGAAACAUGACUCACCUUCAAAGCAACCAUUUCAUCCGCAUUACUGUCAACAGUGGCUUUGUAUACUUUAGCAAAAGCACCAGUGCCAGUUGAUCCUUUGAUUUAAUACUUUCUACCACCUUGACACAAGGAAUUGUAGUAGCAGUUUAGAAUCUGAACUUUGAACUUUGGACUGGGCAACUUUGAACUUUGGACUGAGCAGAGUGUACAAUCUGAACUGGGCAGCAAUCUGAACUGGGCAGCAGAGUUUACUCAGAACACCCAGCAAUCUGAACUGGGCACUUUACAAUCUGAAAAUGCAGAAAUCUGAACUGGGAAGUUUACAAUCUGAACUGGGCAUUACUGUCAACAGUUGAUGCUUAACUAUGGACUGGGCAGAUCUUUGAACUGGGCAUAACAAAAAAAUGCAGAAAUCUGAACUGGGAAGUUUACAAUCUGAAAAUGCUAUAAUUUGCCACUGUGAACAGAGAACAGUUUAUGCUUACAUCCUGGACAGAGAACAGUUUAUGCUUCUAAUGAACAAACGUGACUGGUCCAAUGGUAACUCCUUGCUACUGUGCGCUCUGUUACUGGACAGAAACAUGCAGAAAUCUGAACUGGGCGCUCGGUUACAUCCUGGACAGAGAACAGUUUAUGCUUACAUAUAACUGGUCUCUAUUACUAAUGAACAAACGUGACAAGUCCAAUGGUAACUCCUUGCUAUUGUGAACCCUUGCGUCCUGUGUUCGAGCUUGGGAUAGGUAGGUUUUUUUUUGUUUUGUUUACAUUUUUCAAUCAUUUUUGUAUUUUGCUUUUAUUUAUUUACAUGUAUAGCACCAGUUUCUCCAAAUCAUUUCAACCUUUUUUUGGGUGUUGAUGGAGGUGUAUCAUGAUGUUUUGUGCCGGUGCAAUUUUUAGAACUAGUUUAACUAUUAAUGUAAGUAUUUGUUAUUUUACUAAAGAAUAAGUGCUAAAAAACCUUAGGUGGCUAGAAAAAUCUAGAAACUUGCAUGUACACUUCAUUUUGGUGUACAAUGUUGACAAAAAAAUGCAAUUUAUUCUGACAAAGUGGUGACAUACAUCCUACAAAAAUGCAUACAGCCCUCAUAUAAGGCUAAUUACUAAGUGAGAGAUGUUCAUGCUUGUGAUGGAUCUAUACUACCACUUUCUCCAAAUCAUUUUAAACUUUAAUGGCAUGUUUAUUGAACCAACCUAUGAUAUUGUGUGCAGUUAUGCAUUUUUCAGACCUAGUUUACUAACUACUGUAAUUAUUUGUUGUAUUUCGUAAAGAUAUUUGUUACAAUACCAUAACCUAGCUAGAAAAAUCUAAAAACUUGCAUGGACCAUUCAUUUUGGUGUACAAUGUUGACAAAAUAGUUUCAACUCAUUCGGACAAAGUGGUGACACACAUCCUAAGAAAGGCAUACAUCUCUCAUAUAUGGUUAAUUACUAAGUGAGAGAUGUUCAUGCUUGUGAUGGAUCUAUACUACCACUUUCUCCAAACCAUUUUAAACUUUAAUGGCAUGUUUAUUGAACCAACCUAUGAUGUUGUGUGCAGUUAUGCAUUUUUCAGACCUAGUUUACUAAUAACUGUAAUUAUUUGUUGUAUUUCGUAAAGAUAUUUGUUACAAUACCAUAACCUAGCUAGAAAAAUCUAAAAACUUGCAUGGACCAUUCAUUUUGGUGUACAAUGUUGACAAAAUAGUUUCAACAAAUUCGGACAAAGUGGUGACACACAUCCUAAGAAAGGCAUACAUCUCUCAUAUAAGGCUAAUUACUAAGUGAGAGAUGCUAUUGCAAGUGAGAGAUGUAUAGUACCACUAUGUCAAAAAUAUUUCAAAAUAUUAUAACAUGAUCAUAAGCCAAACUAAUGUGUCCAUGAAUAGAUAAUUGCAAAAAAAAACAUAGAGAUAAAUAAAAAACAAAGAAUUAAUAUAAAAUGGUAGGCAAAAAACAAAAAAAGUCUUAUAGUUAGCAGGUCAAACCAUUGAGCUAUGCACAUGUUUUCGAUAUAUACCCAGCGCUAGUAUACUUAAACGCAUUAGCCUCCGCAUUGCCAAACACAUUGGGCGCCAAAAACAUUUUCGCCGUCGUCACUAAAACAGAAUCCGCUCUCAUCCUCUAUCUCCCGCACUCCUCUUAUUUCUCCCCCACUCUUCUUUCUCCCCCACUUCUCCAAACCUAAUCGCCGCCGCCGGGACACGACGGCUGUCGACGACCUGCCCCCUCGACCAGGUACCUCACCGCCACCGCUGGGACGCAUCCGCCGUCGACGACCUGCCCCCUCGACCAGGUACCUCAUCGCCGCCCCCUUACCUCUCAUCGCGUCGAUGAGCUGCGUCGUCGCCGACUUCACUCGCCGCAUCCCGCUCUAUCUCAUUGCCAUCCGCAUUUCUCUCGCCCCUUCCACCUAACACGCCCCAUCCACAUUGCUCUCGCUAACCCCUAAACCCUAACAUCGCUGGAUUUGGGUCAUCGCAGACGACCUUGAUGGUGAACAAAAGGAGGCACAGAAGUCAGAAAGGUCCAACCCCUAAACCCUAACCAUCGCUAGAUUUAGUUUAAUUAUUCAUUCGUUGUUAUCAGAGAUAUUGUAAAUUGAUUUAUGUAAUCAUUGUGCACUGAUACAGUUGUGUUUGGUUCCUUACAUUGUGUUAUAUGCAGUCACAUCCAUGUUUUAGUAGAGAACUUAUGUUUCUAGUACUGGUAGACAAGGUUCAAGAAAGCGCGAUUAGGCGUGCGAUUAGGCGCGGUUAAGCGCUGAGCAGAGGGUCAACGCAUCGCUUACCUACUAAGCGGGCAAUUAAGCGCUGGCCCUGCUUAAUCGUGCCCAUUCGGCAUGUUUAAGGGAUAAGAGGAGGGAGAGGAAGAGGAGGAACACCUCCGGGGUCAAUCCAGCAGGCAGCAAAUCGACGGAUCGACGAGAGAGAGAGCGGACGGACCUACGAUGGCUGCAGGCAGCAGAUUGGUGAGAGAGAGGCGGAGCGGCUUCGCGGUAGAGGUGAAGAUCGCACGAGGGAGGAGAGGCUUCGGGAGAGGGAGCCGGAGAGCGUACGGCACGGAGGAGGAUAGGCUUCGGGAGAGGGAGGCGGAGAGCACAGGGCGGCGGCGCGGGGCGUGGAAGGAGGUAGCAGAGUACUAGGUCAUCACGGGAGAGGGGUUUUGCGUUGAGCCUCCUGGCAGGUGGGCCUAGUGGGCUGCAGACUCAUGAAGAGAGGAGGUGGGGGUUAAGGGCUGCUGCAGGGUGGCCCAAUAUCAUGUAUUUUUUUCUCUUUUUAACAAAAAUGAUUAAGCACGAUUAAUCAUGCUUAAGCAUUUUCACCACCAUACCGCUCGCUCAGCGCUUAGUGCUUUCUUGAACCUUGCUGGUAGAAAGAGAUGAGAAUAUCUUCACUUUUUUUGUUCAUCAGCUUGUGUAAAUCUACAUCGCCUAAUCAAUGUACUAGCUAGUACUUUGAACAUUGUUUAAGCCUGCAUAAAGAUUUCCACAACCAAACAGGGGAAACACUACAGUUAUAGUGCAACCACAAUUAUGAACUUGCACAAUCAUAACCAAGCUUCAUAAUGACUGAAUCUACACAUCUUAUCUAUUUGCUUUUAGUCAAAUCCUUCCCUGCAAAUAGUAGUACCUCUUAGCUUUUAGUAAAAUCCUUUACAUUAUCUAAUACACACAGUAUGCUUGUUCUUAUCUAUCUUGCAAGUAGUUCAACAUGAGCGAACUGCUUAUGAGAGAAGACGGGAUAAACAAGUGGAGGAGAAUAUAAAGAAGAUGCAAGAUUUGGGUCUGAACAAAUAUACUUCUGUUCUAAAUAAUUCUGUCUCACCAUCUGCAUCAACAAAGGGGAAACAUGCAGCAAACAAGAUAAAUAAUAGUUCAGAUUCGGAUUCAUAUGUCUCUUUCUAUCUCAUUGACGAUGAUGAUCAAGGAGAUACUGAUGAUGACAGUGAAUAUUAUGAGCAGCCAAAACCCCUGGCAAUGAAGGUGCUCCUUCUAUCUUCAAAGUAGUGGAUGCCAAAUAGUUGCAUUGCAUUUCAAUGUUUUGAAUCUGGUGUUUAAUAUAUGCUCAUGCUUUUAGAUUCAUCUUCUUUAUUUCAUACCUCUUAAUUAAUAUAUGGUCUUGCUUUUUGUCACACCCGGUUUUAGAAGGCAAACCGAAUGCGAACCAUGUACGUGCCAGGAUCAGUUAUUGACGUACACAGCAGUUACAUAAUAUGGACAUCAUCACACAGUGCUCAAAAUAGUAUUAAUAAGGGAAAUAGUCGAUUACAUCAUACGUCUGAGACGUCCAUAUAGUUCUUACAAUAAAUCAAAGUGCGGAAAAGAAACGUAGAUAACGCGGCCUUCACAGGCAGCCGACUGGGGGUUGCCGCUAACCCACACCUAGAACUCGUCGUAGUCUUGGAACUCCUGGAAGUCUCCUUCCACAGCUUCAUCUUCGCCUGAGCAGUGGUUGCAAUGCUGACAACCUGGGGGGGGUUUGGUGUGUAGAGCAAGGGUGAGUACACAUCAACAUACUCAGCAAGUAUCCUGUUUGGCUGUAGUGGACUAGCUUUAUGUGGGGAUAAGUCAAGCAGUUGCUUUUAGUUGGUCAGAUUAUUAUUUACUAGUAGAAAGCCAAGUUUUAGCAUUAACCCAAGUUAUUAACCCGAUGUACCCUUUCCAAACGGAAAGAAUACCACUUACCAGCACCAUAGUCAUAACCAAAACCAUCAAUCUCAUUGCCACCUGUAAACCAAAAGGUCUCUUAUCAAGUACCACUAAUCACUGGAGCUCCCUUGGCCGCUCAUAACCGCGAGCACGGCUGAUAUAUCAGUUUCAUAACACUCUGCAGAGGUUGUGCACUUUACCCACAAGCCGUGAUUCCCUCUUGCCUCGGGCCGAUCAAACCCUUAAACACUACCAAGGUGAAUAGGCAGGGUUUCACUACGUAGCCUUUACAAAGAUUCCCCGGGGCUGUAGCCACCCGUUAGGUUUCCUAAAUGCACCGCACUCCUCCCCAAGGGGCGAACCCAAACUUGGCAGAGCGAGCCGCAUACACCGAGCCCCAUUGACGGCACAACGGCUAAGUGAACUACACCCCGGAUCCUCUAAUUAUUCAGCUAAGGGCAUCCCAUUCCACCCUCAUGGUUGCACUGUUUUCCCGGGCGGUCAUCCAUAGAACAGGUCCUUACGGAGAGGCACUCGAGAAACCGCUCGAGCCCCCUUGAAUACCACAAGUACAACAUCAUAAUAAGAGAAGGGAAAACAGCGUAUCAUAGAUAAUCUCAUCAUGUUCAUUGAUUAGAGUUGAGCAAUAGCAUAAAGCUAAACAGUAAUAAUCCAACCCAAAUAGGUAAACAAGGACAUGGAUAACAAAAGCUAGUCAAUCCUUAGGUAUAAAGGUGUAAUGCGGGAGGUGAAUUAAAUAAUGAAUAGGACAGAGAUAGGUCAAAGGACACUUGCCUCCACCACCCGACUGCUGCUCAGGGGCUUCUCCUGCGAAUUCCUCGGGCUCUUCGACCGGAUCGUUCUCUAUGCGAUUGCAAACAUACAUACAUCCAUCCACAUUUAAUACAAAAGAACAGUACACCAUACAAGGGAACAAAUAAAGUGAGUAUGCAUCAAGUAUGACAUUCGAUAUCGCAUUUGUUAUGGUUAGAAAGAAACGGGAAAGGGUCUCGCAGGGGGUUAAAUCUUAUGCACUAACGAUCAAUUACAAUUGGUUCUUAACAAAAGAAUUCUGUUACAUAUACACUAAUGGAAACCUAAUCAUUUUAAGUUGAUCAACAUUGCACGAGGUAAACAAUUAACUACAUGAAUCAACUAGCAUAACGGAAUUUUAAAUUAAACUUCCUAUUUCAAUGGCAUGAACAAUGAUUAGCUUACCUAAAAUAAAAUAGCUAUGAUCACAGAAAGUAAAUAAAAUAAAAUAAAAAAAAAUAAAAAAAACAGAGGGGGGGGGGCGGUUGAACCGGCCCUAGGGGCGGUUGAACCGGCCCUGCGCAGGGGGCGCGGCCAGGGCGAGCGGCCGAGGGCGGGCUGGGGGCGGCCGGGACCGGCCAGGGCGCGGCAGCGGCCGGCUGGGCGCGGCCAGGGCGCGCGGCCAGGGGGCGGCAGCGGCCAGCCAGGGCGCGCGGCCAGGGGGCCGGGCGGCUGGGCUGCCAAGGGGAGGGAGGAGGGGAGAGGGGAGAGGGAGGGAGGAGGGAGAGAGGGAGGAGGGGGGGGGCUCACCGGCGGGGGCGGCCGACGGCGGGGAGCGGCGGCCGAGCAGGGGGCGGCGGCGGCUUAGGGCAGGGGGUAGAGGCGGCGGCGGCUUAGGGUGGGGGAGAGAAAAUGAGAGGGAGAGGGAGAGGGUUUGGGGAAAAAAGGGGGGAUGAGGGGGGGCGGCUGGGCCUUUUUGGGCCCAAGAGGGGGCGCCAGGGGCGGCUGGGCCGGCCGGGGUCGGCCCACGGCGCGGGAGAGAGAGAAAAAAAGGAGAGAGAAAGAGAGAGAGAAAAAAGAAAGAAAAGAUCUUCUCCUCAUUUUCGAAAUCCGAUCUUUCUACAUGAAUGCAAUUGCGCUUUCAAAGCAAUCAAAAGAAAUGCAAGGUUCGGCAUGGUGCAUCAAACAACAUAAAGUAUUUAGGGUUUUUCUUACACGGGAAUUCCAAACCGAAUCCCGCUAGAACUUUGGAAAAGGUCAAGGUUUAGCGAAGGGAAAAAGAAAAAGAAAAGGUAACGCCCGAAUUUUGGCGAGUAAAGAAAAGAAAAAAUUCAACUGCAAAAUUCGGGGCGUUACAAACCUAUCCCCCUUAAAAGAAUCUCGCCCUCGAGAUUCAGGGCUGGCUAGCAAAGAGCUCUGGGUACUUGGCCAUCAGAUCAUCUUCACGCUCCCAGGUUGCUUCUUCCUCAGAGUGGUGAUUCCAUCUGACUUUGCACAUUCUGAUGGUCUUCCUUCGGGUGACUCUGUCUGCAAUCUCAAGGAUCUGAGCUGGCUUCUCAACGUAGGUCAAGUCCUCCUGGACCUCAAGACCUUCCACUGGCAACUGCUCUUCCGGCACACGCAAGCACUUCUUCAACUGAGACACAUGAAAGACAUCAUGCACAGCAGACAAAUUCUCUGGCAGGCUGAGCUGAUAAGCCACUUCUCCACGCUUUGAGAGAAUUUGAUACGGACCAAUGUAGCGGGGUGCUAGCUUGCCUUUCACUCCGAAUCUUCUGACUCCUCUGAUCGGUGACACUUUCAGAUAGACAAAAUCUCCGACUUCAAAACUCAGCUCUCUUCUUCUUGUGUCUGCAUAGCUUCGCUGCCUCGAUUGCGCUAUCUUCAGAUUCUCUCGAACCAUCUUGAUGUUCUCUUCGGCUUCAAGCAAAAUGUCUGGCCCAAACACUUGCUUUUCUCCAGGCUGAUCCCAUUGCAACGGAGUUCUGCAACUCCUUCCAUAGAGCGCCUGAAAUGGUGACAUCUUCAAACUGGCCUGGUAACUGUUGUUAUAGGAAAACUCUGCAUAAGGCAAUCGCUUGUCCCAUCCGGACUGAUCUUGCAACGCACAGGCUCUCAACAUGUCUUCAAGAAUUUGAUUGGUUCUUUCAGUCUGACCAUCUGUCUGCGGGUGAUAAGCUGAACUGAAAUUCAGAUGUGUGCCCAAGGCUUCAUGCAACUGCUGCCAGAAAUGAGAGGUGAACUGCGUUCCUCUGUCUGACACUAUCUUCUUUGGCACACCAUGAAGACAAACGAUCCGAGACAUGUACAACUCUGCCAAUACUGCACUGUUGUAGCUGGUCUUGACAGGUAUGAAGUGGGCUGACUUGGUCAAACGGUCCACCACUACCCAAAUAGAAUCGUAGCCGGCUCGAGUGCGAGUCAAUCCGACUAUGAAAUCCAUACCAAUUUCAUCCCAUUUCCACUGAGGGAUCUUCAACGGUUGCAACAAUCCAACAGGUCUCUGGUGCUCUGCCUUAAUUCUUUGGCAACUAUCGCACAUAGCCACAUGCUCUGCGAUUUCCCUCUUCAUUCCAUACCACCAGAAUUUCCUCUUCAGAUCCUGAUACAUCUUCUCACUGCCAGGGUGAAUCGAAUAAGCUGUCUCAUGAGCUUCCUUAAGAAUCAACUCCCGAAUGGACUGGACAUUGGGAACACAUAAGCGGUCUUUGAACCAUAUCACGCCUUCUGCAUCUUCUCGAAAAUCUUUGCCUUUGCCUUCUAGAAUCAGUCGCCGGAUCUCACUGAUUUUCUCAUCAUUCUUUUGCGCUCCUUUGAUUUCGCGCUCCAAGGUAGGUUCCAACUCAACUGUGACUCCUCGCGAAUUGUUCAGAAACCCGAGACUCAACCUGUCGAACUCCUUGGCCAACUCAUAAGGCAUCGGGCGAGCGACCAUCAGAUUGACUUGACUUUUUCUGCUUAAAGCAUCUGCCACUACGUUUGCUUUGCCUAGAUGAUAAUGAAUCUCCAACUCAUAGUCUUUGAUCAGCUCUAACCAUCUUCGUUGCCUCAUGUUCAGCUCUGACUGAGUGAAUAUGUACUUCAGACUCUUGUGGUCUGUGUAAACAUCGCAUUUCUGUCCAUACAGAUAGUGCCUCCAUGUCUUCAGUGCGUGAACCACUGCUGCCAACUCUAGGUCAUGGAUUGGGUAGUUCUUCUCAUGAACCUUCAGCUGUCGGGACGAGUAAGCCACAACUCUUCCCUCUUGCAUCAACACACAUCCCAAACCUGUGUAACAAGCAUCACAAUACACCGAAAAGGGCUUGUGCACAUCGGGCAAGACUAGGACAGGCGCUGUAGUCAACUUCUCUUUCAGCGCUUCAAAGGCCUCUUGACAUUUCUGGGUCCACUUGAACUCAACUUUGUUGCCUAGCAACGCUGUCAUUGGUUUCGCAAUCUUCGAAAACCCUUCAAUGAAUCGCCGAUAAUAUCCGGCCAUUCCAAUGAAACUCUUGAUUCCUCUAGCAUCUGUUGGCGCUUUCCAGUUCAAAAUGUCUGCCACUUUCUUCGGAUCCACAGCCAAUCCUUCCUUGUUGAUUACGUGACCCAAGAACAGGACUUCACUGAUCCAGAACUCACACUUGCUCAAUUUUGCAUACAACUGGUGCUCUCGCAAUCUCUGCAAUACCAUCCUCAAAUGAUCUGCGUGCUCUUCUUCGCUUUGGGAAUAAAUCAGAAUGUCAUCAAUGAAUACCACCACAAACUUAUCAAGGUAAUCCAUGAAUACACUGUUCAUCAAGUUCAUGAAGAACGCUGGCGCAUUGGUCAAACCAAAUGACAUCACCGUGAACUCAUACAACCCAUACUUGGAAAUGAAUGCCGUCUUCGGAAUGUCCGAAGGUCGGAUCCUGAGCUGAUGAUAACCUGACCUCAGAUCAAUCUUGGAGAACACACUGGCUCCUCUCAACUGGUCGAACAGAUCUUCUAUUCUGGGCAAGGGAUACUUGUUCUUGAUCGUGACCUCAUUCAAAGCUCGAUAAUCGAUGCACAUCCUCUUGGUGCCAUCUUUCUUUUCCACAAAUAAGACAGGGGCGGCCCAAGGCGAGGUGCUUGGCCGAAUGUAACCUUUCUCUGACAGUUCAUCAAUCUGCUCCUUAAGCUCAACCAACUCUGGUCCAGAUAUUCUGUAAGCUCUCUUAAAGAUGGGGGCGGUUCCAGGAAGAAGCUCUAUGGCAAACUCAACUUUCCGCUCUGGUGGCAUACCCGGUAAGUCCUUUGGAAACACAUCUGGGAAUUCAGACACAACCUUGAUACUCUCAAUUGGAUCUGCUUCACUGCUAUCGACAGCCAUCUGAUAACAACCUCCUUUCUUUGACUCAGGCGGGACUAGUUCGGUCACCACUUCCUUUCCUACUGGGGACACCAACUUGAUUGUCCUUUUAUCACAACUGAUAACUGCCUGAUACUUAUCUAACCAAUUCAUCCCUAGGAUGACAUCUAUUCCCUGAGUACCCAUUACUAUAAGGUUGGCGGGAAAUGCUAUCCCCCUUAUUUUCACACUUAUAUUCAAACAAAUGCUAUCGGCUCGAAUUCUACCACCGGCUGAGUAAAUUUGAAUGGGGGUUGACAUGGUAGUAGUUGGAAGAUUAUGUGCUUCUACCCAUGAUGCAGUAAUGAAAGAAUGCGUUGCUCCAGUAUCAAAUAACACUUCUGCAAUAUGGGAGUCGACUGGGAACAUACCUACUAUCAUGUCGGGGGUCUCCUGAACUGCUUCAGCCUCCAAGUGGUUCAGCCUUCCAUGAUUAUAGCGCGGCUGAGGGCGAUUGCCUGCUCCAGGCUGAGACACAUUCUGCUUUGCUGGGGCAUUGGGGCCUGACUGCUGCUGGGCUGCCUUCUUCGGACAUUGCAUCACCCAGUGGCCUUGCUCUCCACAGUGGAAACAUGCUCUGUUUCCAACCUGAGCUGGUGCUGCCUGACUGUUCUGCUGAUUUGCUGGGGCAGGAAGACGAGGGGCCUGCUGAUUCUGCCUUUGAAACUGACCUCCUCACUGAUUGCUCUGACGGUUCUGGUACUGAUUCUGAGGAUACUGCCUUUGAAACUGCUGAUGCUGCUGAGGUGGACGCUGGUUCUGCCUGAACUGCUGAGGUUGAUUGCCUGAGAAACGAGGACGACUGCUGCUUCCAGACUGCGGUCCACUGAUCUUGCGCUUACGAUCUUCCAUCUCCUUGCGCUUUCUCUCCGUCAUGAUUGCUCUAUCCAUCAAGUGCUGGAAUGUCGGGAAGGUGUGGUUCAUCAGCUGAUACUGCAGAGGGUCAACCAAGCCUCUCAGGAAACGGUACUGCCGCUUGGCAUCAGUGUUGACAUCUUCAGGAGCAUAGCGAGACAAUUGCAGAAACUUGUCCCGGUACUCACUGACAGACAAUGGCCCUUGCUUGAGGGCCAGGAACUCCUCCUUCUUCACUGUCAUCAGACCUGCAGGAACAUGGUACUGACGAAAGCUACCUCUGAAUUCUUCCCAGGUGAUGGUGUCGGGGUUGGCAUGGGUGGCGAGAUAAGACUCCCACCAUGACUGGGCUGCUCCUCUCAACAGACGGGGACCAUACAGAACUUUCUCCCUGUCAUCGCACUGAGCGGUAUGCAACUCCCGCUCCACAGUGCGCAGCCAAUCUUCAGCAUCCAUGGGGUCAGAAGAAUGAGCGAACGUUGGUGGAUGACCUCUCAUGAAUUCAGCACGCUUGUCUCUAGGCAUCUGAGGCAUCUGAGGCUGAGGUGGUGCUUGCUGCUGUUGCUGCUGCUGCUGCUGAAUGGCGGCCAAAGUCUGACCGAUGGCUUGAACUGCCUGAGUCUGCAUCAGAAACAUCUGCUCGAUGGACAUCGGGGGCGGGGGUGGCAGCUGCUGCUGCUGGGGCGCCUCCUCCUGUUGAGCGGCUCGCUCCUGCUGAGCACGCCUUCCUCCUCUGCGCCUAUUCUCUGACAUCUGCAGAAUGCAACCACACAUCAGAACUGAUCUGGCAAAUCUUGCAGCAUAAGAGAAGAGUAUAGAAUUCUUCAACAGCACUGAACAGAUGAGCAUCUUCACUGAUCUCCAACACAGACCACACAGUUUCUCAGAUAGAAAGGAAAGUGGAAUAAAAGGUUUCCCAACUAUAUAACUAACUUUAUUAACAUAAUAGGUAAACCAAAAUGCAGGGGAUGCCCACACUCUGGUGACAAUCAUUACAAAGAUCCAAACCAAUCAUAGUUCAUCAUGACAAACAUAAAUGCACAUGAUAUAGCAAACUACCCUGUCUAACUAAGACUAACUAAGACUGAGACUAACGCUAAGACUGAAGCUUCUACGUAUAUUUUUCGUAUUAAUUACAAGAUCCAACUCUAACGAUCUAUGGUUCUAGAGUUAUCUUGGUCUUGCAGUCGGGAUUGCCAUAAGACUGGUGUCCAUGCUGAGGUGAGCGGUACGGGUGCUGAGUCCCAACGGGAGCGGGGGAACCACCAUCCAGGUGACGAUGUUCCGCGCGCUCAGCCCGCAGCAGGGCGAUCUCAGCACGAGCCCUACUCAGCUCGUCUAAUGCAUGGUCCAGCUCCGUGUUUAGCACGGCGGCUAGGUUGACUGUGCUGCUCAACCUAGGAUUGCCCUCACCGACAGGUGAGACAAUCACGCCUCCUGUGCUGCCAGAUGGACGGCGGGGGUAAUACUUCAGGUCAAGACCGUCAGCUGCCCCACCGAAAACCGAGCAGUAGUGCGAAAGCGCACGCCGUGCAGCAUCUUGCAUGGCUGCCUCAGCUGAGUCCCGCUCAGAAAUAGAAUAGUGCUCUGAACAGGCCUCUGCACCCUGGAGACUGUUCUCCGGGCAGCGCACCAAGCAAGUCGCCUCCCAGCGGUCCGGGUAGACCCCGCGACUAUGCUGGUAGACCACACAGCGAUACUCGACGGACCAAGUAUGCCGGUCAAAUGCCCGACGUAGCAGGGUGUCGAGCGCAUCGUGGAAGUGACACCCGCGAGCAGCGUCGCGAGUGAUGGGUCGAGCAACCCAUCCUUCCGGCUCAAGGUUAGCAGAGAAGUCGGUGUCGUGGCUCGAGCUGUCGUCGCCAUCUCCGUCGUCUGGGUCUCCUCCAGCAGCUACUCCAGAAGCUGGGGCGCCCAGUGGUGAUGCAGGGGGCGGCUCCAGAGGAAGCACAGGGGAGCAGCUCCUCACAGACUCUAUCUCCUGGUGGAGCGAGAAGGAAGAGCUCUGCUGCUCCUGUCGUCGACGCUCCUGCUCCUCACGCAGGCGGUGGUGUAGUCUCUCCAAGUGGCUGGACUGUCCGGCCACGGGACGGCGAAGCGGACGCUCAGCAAGGCGGGAGGGUAAGAAGGGGAUGACUGACUUUCGUGCAGUGUGUCUAAGUCGAGCCAUCUACAAAAGACAUUGCAAGCAAAAGGGCGAGAACAGAAUUAAUAUGACCAGCAAGUAAUGAAUCAUAAAUAGAUGAAGGAUUAGAAUAAAACAUGAUUUUCAGCAAGGUAUAAUAUAUAGUAGAACAUAGGUUUGGUCGGUAUGACCAACUUUUGAAGGGAUGACAAAGUCAAGGAAGAGACAGAGGUCUAUAGUCCUUAGAACGGCCAUUCUACUCUAGGUUAGCGGUCCUACAGUCAGCACGGCUUUGAUACCACUUAUGUCACACCCGGUUUUAGAAGGCAAACCGAAUGCGAACCAUGUACGUGCCAGGAUCAGUUAUUCACGUACACAGCAGUUACAUAAUAUGGACAUCAUCACACAGUGCUCAAAAUAGUAUUAAUAAGGGAAAUAGUCGAUUACAUCAUACGUCUGAGACGUCCAUAUAGUUCUUACAAUAAAUCAAAGUGCGGAAAAGAAACGUAGAUAACGCGGCCUUCACAGGCAGCCGACUGGGGGUUGCCGCUAACCCACACCUAGAACUCGUCGUAGUCUUGGAACUCCUGGAAGUCUCCUUCCACAGCUUCAUCUUCGCCUGAGCAGUGGUUGCAAUGCUGACAACCUGGGGGGGGGGGGUUUGGUGUGUAGAGCAAGGGUGAGUACACAUCAACAUACUCAGCAAGUAUCCUGUUUGGCUGUAGUGGACUAGCUUUAUGUGGGGAUAAGUCAAGCAGUUGCUUUUAGUUGGUCAGAUUAUUAUUUACUAGUAGAAAGCCAAGUUUUAGCAUUAACCCAAGUUAUUAACCCGAUGUACCCUUUCCAAACGGAAAGAAUACCACUUACCAGCACCAUAGUCAUAACCAAAACCAUCAAUCUCAUUGCCACCUGUAAACCAAAAGGUCUCUUAUCAAGUACCACUAAUCACUGGAGCUCCCUUGGCCGCUCAUAACCGCGAGCACGGCUGAUAUAUCAGUUUCAUAACACUCUGCAGAGGUUGUGCACUUUACCCACAAGCCGUGAUUCCCUCUUGCCUCGGGCCGAUCAAACCCUUAAACACUACCAAGGUGAAUAGGCAGGGUUUCACUACGUAGCCUUUACAAAGAUUCCCCGGGGCUGUAGCCACCCGUUAGGUUUCCUAAAUGCACCGCACUCCUCCCCAAGGGGCGAACCCAAACUUGGCAGAGCGAGCCGCAUACACCGAGCCCCAUUGACGGCACGACGGCUAAGUGAACUACACCCCGGAUCCUCUAAUUAUUCAGCUAAGGGCAUCCCAUUCCACCCUCAUGGUUGCACUGUUUUCCUGGGCGGUCAUCCAUAGAACAGGUCCUUACGGAGAGGCACUCGAGAAACCGCUCGAGCCCCCUUGAAUACCACAAGUACAACAUCAUAAUAAGAGAAGGGAAAACAGCGUAUCAUAGAUAAUCUCAUCAUGUUCAUUGAUUAGAGUUGAGCAAUAGCAUAAAGCUAAACAGUAAUAAUCCAACCCAAAUAGGUAAACAAGGACAUGGAUAACAAAAGCUAGUCAAUCCUUAGGUAUAAAGGUGUAAUGCGGGAGGUGAAUUAAAUAAUGAAUAGGACAGAGAUAGGUCAAAGGACACUUGCCUCCACCACCCGACUGCUGCUCAGGGACUUCUCCUGCGAAUUCCUCGGGCUCUUCGACCGGAUCGUUCUCUAUGCGAUUGCAAACAUACAUACAUCCAUCCACAUUUAAUACAAAAGAACAGUACACCAUACAAGGGAACAAAUAAAGUGAGUAUGCAUCAAGUAUGACAUUCGAUAUCGCAUUUGUUAUGGUUAGAAAGAAACGGGAAAGGGUCUCGCAGGGGGUUAAAUCUUAUGCACUAAUGAUCAAUUACAAUUGGUUCUUAACAAAAGAAUUCUGUUACAUAUACACUAAUGGAAACCUAAUCAUUUUAAGUUGAUCAACAUUGCACGAGGUAAACAAUUAACUACAUGAAUCAACUAGCAUAACGGAAUUUUAAAUUAAACUUCCUAUUUCAAUGGCAUGAACAAUGAUUAGCUUACCUAAAAUAAAAUAGCUAUGAUCACAGAAAGUAAAUAAAAUAAAAAAAAUAAAAAAAACAGAGGGGGGGCGGUUGAACCGGCCCUAGGGGCGGUUGAACCGGCCCUGCGCAGGGGGCGCGGCCAGGGCGGGCGGCCGAGGGCGGGCUGGGGGCGGCCGGGACCGGCCAGGGCGCGGCGGCCAGGGGGCGGCAGCGGCCGGCCAGGGCGCGCGGCCAGGGGGCCGGGCGGCUGGGCUGCCAAGGGGAGGGAGGAGGGGAGAGGGGAGAGGGAGGGAGGAGGGAGAGAGGGAGGAGGGGGGCUCACCGGCGGGGGCGGCCGACGGCGGGGAGCGGCGGCCGAGCAGGGGGCGGCGGCGGCUUAGGGCAGGGGGUAGAGGCGGCGGCGGCUUAGGGUGGGGGAGAGAAAAUGAGAGAAAAUGAGAGGGAGAGGGAGAGGGUUUGGGGAAAAAAGGGGGGAUGAGGGGGGGCGGCUGGGCCUUUUUGGGCCCAAGAGGGGGCGCCAGGGGCGGCUGGGCCGGCCGGGGUCGGCCCACGGCGUGGGAGAGAGAGAAAAAAAGGAGAGAGAAAGAGAGAGAGAAAAAAGAAAGAAAAGAUCUCCUCAUUUUCGAAAUCCAAUCUUUCUACAUGAAUGCAAUUGCGCUUUCAAAGCAAUCAAAAGAAAUGCAAGGUUCGGCAUGGUGCAUCAAACAACAUAAAGUAUUUAGGGUUUUUCUUACACGGGAAUUCCAAACCGAAUCCCGCUAGAACUUUGGAAAAGGUCAAGGUUUAGCGAAGGGAAAAAGAAAAAGAAAAGGUAACGCCCGAAUUUUGGCGAGUAAAGAAAAGAAAAAAUUCAAAUGCAAAAUUCGGGGCGUUACACUUUUAAAUGCACAUGACUAUUUUUUGUGGACAGUAUCCUAGAAGAGGUAGAAACACAACCCUUGCUUCAAAGAAGAAGAUAGACCCCAACAUGGCUCCAGGCAUUAGGUUCAGCAAGAGAGUGAGGGCAGGUGCACAACCAGAGGAGCAAUCUUCAAAAAGGCUUCACUCUACAGAGACAGAUGGCCACAAUGUACAGGAACCAACAGAUGGAAAUGAUCACAUACCAAACAGCCCUACUACACCUGGACUUGCUGAUCAUUUCAGCAGAGCUGCAGAGGAAGCCAUGGCAUCUGCUGCUCAUGACAGUACAGGUGAUGCUGAAGGCAACAGCCGUACUACACCUGGACUUGCUGAUCAUUUCAGCAGAGCUGAAGAGGAAGACAUGGCAUCUACUGCUCAUGACAGUACAGGUGAUGCUCAAGCCAAUGUAGCUAGAGAUGAAGAAACUGAAGGCAAGUUCUAUUUUUUCAGUCAAAUAAGGCAUCUCUUUUGCUGAUUUGCAUGAAACAAAACAAUUUCAUUAUUCAAUAAAAGCGAAUUAUAUUUUGUAGCUCCUACACAGCGAGCACCAAGGAGACCCAGGGCAGCAACCAAGGGAAAACAACUGGACAGGAUGACUAAAGUUAUGCAAAGGAGACUGCCCAUAGCUGUUGAGGAAGGCAAAAAAGGCCACAUGAACCUGUUCAAGCUGCCAAGUUUGCAUCAGAGGCUGGCAUCAUUAUUCGGGAAACCAUGCCUAUACUAACUCGUUGGAAAGAUUACAAGGACGACCAGAAAUACUACAACAACUUUGUGUCACAGCUAAAUGUAAGUGCAUUACUGAUUCUAUGGUUCACUUGUAUACUGCUUAACCUGAUUUGACUAACUAUGGAAUUGUCAUAUGCAUAGGGGCGCUUGUCCGUUAACACUGAGGACAAGGCAACAAAGGAAGCUUGCACCGAUAUGCUACGCUCUGCGGUAAAAAACCAGUGUUAUCGGCUCAAGCAGAAAUACUUCAAUGGUGUACCUGCAAAUGAGAUUAGCACAACUUCUCCUGUAUCUUACAUGACUGAUGAAUAGUGGAGGGCAUUAGUUGCAAAGUGGUCUGAUCCAAAGAACAUGGUAUGGGUAUCUUGUCAUAUAUUGUUCUUUCACUAUACGUUUGCAAAGGAUCUUCGCAUAUUGAACCUAUGAUCUAAUCUGACAUGUUCAUUCUCUUGUAGGAAAUAAGUGAAAAGAACAAGCAGAACCACAGUCAAGUCAAGUUUCAUCAGGCUACAGGUUCUCGCUGCUAUGUGGCACACUUACAUGCAUAUGUAAGUAACUAUUACCUUGUACUACUACCUGCACUUUUGCACUCAACUUCUAUUGCAUUUGAUCUGAGAAAACUUCGCUGUGAUUGUUUAUCCACGAAACAGAAGCAGAAGAGAAACCGAGAAGAACCCAGCUUAGAUCAGACUGAAGAACUAGAUGCGGUGGACGCCUUCAAGACCUGUCAUACCAGCUCCAAACGUGGCCUGAGUGAACCGGCAAGAGAAGCACUUGUAAGUUCAUUUGUUUGCUUUAUUUAGUGUAAUUUUUAUGAGAUCAUAUGAGGGAGGCUGGCUGUGGGUCGAUGGAACGAAGGGGAGUGAGAUCGCCUGUCCCAUCCCAGGGGAGUUCAGAUCAUAGUCUAUUUUGUCUGCCAUUUGUCUGCCAUCAAAUUUCUAAAAUGAAAGUAAAUAUCAUAGUCUAUUUUUUGUAGGACCCGUGCACUAGAAAUGUAUAGGUUUUAGAGUCUUUGUUAAGCAAAUCUGCUAUAAUUUGUAACUGUUUUCACAUUAUUUUUCAUAGUCUAUUUAUAGAGUCUUUCAAAUGUAUAGCUUUUAAUUUGCCAUCAAAUGUAUAGCUUUUAAGCAAAUCUGCUAUAAUUUGUAACGGCUAUAAUCUGCUAUAAUUUGCCAUCAAAUGUAUAGCUUUUAGAGUCUGUCAGUCUAUUUUUCAUAGUCUUUGUUAAUGCCUUGUAGGCUAUAAUUUGUAACUGCUAUAAUCUGCUAUAAUGUGCACUAGAAAUGAAAGUCACUGUUUUCACAUUAUUGUCAGCAUCUUGCUGUUGCUCAUUAGCAUUAACAUGUUACUGUUUCUGUCCAUGAUAUUUCAGUCUCAUAUGGAGGCUUUGAGGGCUGAACCUGUUGCUGAAGGUGAGAUGCCAGCAUCUAGUGUGCACCUUGUGUCGAAGGUGCUGUCCCAGAGCAGCUCACACCAAUUCCUGAAAAGCGUCGGCAUCAAAACAUCGGCAACCUCCAAGGCAUCAUCAUCAAAUCAUAGUGAGCUUCGGGAACAACUUGCAGCUGAAGCGACGGCUGCUGUUCAAGGUGAACUCGACCAGCUCAGGAAGAAAUGUGAAGAAGCUGAGGAACAGCAGGCGAGGACACAAAGGGAGUUGGAGGAGUACAAGAAGAUAACAGAGAAGAACAGCAAGGAGAUGGAGGAGACCAAUGUGCUCAUCAAGAAGCUCUUGUCCUUGCAUGGUAACUCUUCUUCGACAUGAGGGCUGCUAGUCAGAGCUGCUGUUUUUGGCCUAUUCUUUGACAUGAGGGUACCCAAAAACUCUAGUUGCUCGUGGGUGUCAACUUUUGAUUAUAUGCUGUUAUGUUUGUGCAAACUCAACUGAAAUGUGAAGUCAAGUGGUGAUGUUGUGAACUGAGUUUAGUGUUGUCCACUUAGUUUGUAUGCGCACUGGAAUACUAGUUGUAUUCAUGUAUGGAAUAUGGAAUUGUGUGCUCAUUCCUCUGUUCUAGUAUAUUUUGCAAUUUCCAAUUAAAUUAUUCUCUGCACAUCUGUGACCAAACUGGUGGCAUAUAAUAAAACAUAUGCCACGUCAGCGUUGACGUCAGCUCUGACGUCAGCUGCCACAUCACUAGCCACGUCAGCGCUGACGUCAUACGCAUCAGCACCUUCCAAACGGCUGUUAAUGACCAAACCACGGCUCUAUCUGUGACGAUACCGUACCGUCACAGAAACCAAACGGCGUUAACAACGCCGUCAGUUUGCUCGGGCAGACGACGAAUUAUGACGGAAAAGUGCCUUCCUCUAUGACCACAACUGAUCGUCAUAGAAUGAAUUCACUUCCAUGACAACGCGGCUUUCAUCACAGAAUGUAUACACAUCGAUGACGAAACUGGGUAGUUCGUCACAACACAACAAAUGUGACGCGACCCCUAUGACCAAAUCGAACUCGUCACAAAUUCGUCACAAACCUUUAUCUGUGACGAUAUAUACACAUGCAGUGACGCAAUACGAACGUCAUCGAUGAUAAGAUCUCUACUAGUGAGGGGGGUGAAUAGGUGUUCCUGUAAAAUCAAAUACUAAAUAGCCACAAACUUGAUUAUUAAGAUGUUAGUAAAAUCAAGUGGCUAUGGAACACGCUCGUGCGGACAAAACAAUCACAAGAAGCAACACACGAGACACGUGAUUUUUAUCUCGUGGUUCGGCCAAGUAACACUUGCCUACUUUCACGUUGUGGCGUCCUAAUGGACGAGGGUUGCACUCAACCCCUUUCAAGCGAUUCAAUGAUCAACUUGAAUACCAUGGCUUUCUUCCUUACAGUCUUUCUCCCGUUUGCGAGGAAUCUCCAUAGAUUAGAGCCUCUCGCCCUUACAAGUUUGUCACAAGAGAAGCAAAGUAGUAAGAGAGGGAGAACAACACACACAAGACUCAAAUCCACAGCACACACACGCACGCAAGCCUAGACUUGAGCUCAAAACACAGCACAGGGAGUACGCAACUCAAACGGAGCUCAAAUCACUAACAUAGUCGAUCAAAUGCGUGUAGGCGGAGUCUGGGAGUCUUAGAAUGUUUCUUGUAAGCUUGGUGUAUUGCUCCAUGCACCUAGGGGUCCCUUUUAUAGCCCCAAGGCAGCUAGGAGCCGUUGGAGACCAACUUGGAAGGCCAAUCUUGCCUUCUGUCGAGUGGUGCACCGGACAGUCCGGUGCACCACCGGACAGCCACUGUAGCAGUCCGGUGCGCGAUCUCCUUCCAAAUCGGGCGCAGCCGACCGUUGGUCCUUCAGGCGAGAUGGCGCACCGGACACUGUCCAGUGCACCCAGCCGACCGUUGGAGCUGGCCACGUGUCGCGCGGUGAUCACGCGGUCGACCGUUUGCCGCAGGCGCCGUUGGCUCACCGGACAGUCCGGUGCACCACCGGACAGUCCAGUGAAUUUUAGCCACGUCGCCUUUUUCUUUUCCCAAGAGCGACGAGUUCAUCGCGGAUGACUCACCGGACAGUCCGGUGCACUACUGGACAGUCCGAUGAAUUUUAGUCGUACAACUCCGUCGUUUCCCAAGAGCAGUCGGUUCACCACCGACUAGCCUGGGGCACCGGACACUAUCCGGUGCGCCACCGGACAGUCCGGUGUGCCAGGCCGAGCUGGAGUUUGGUAUACACAGCCAACUCUUCUUCAAUUAUAAUCUCUUUUUCUUGGCACUGUUUCUAGCACUUAGAUAAACAUGUUAGUAUUCAAAAACUAAUUUACUAAGUCUAGAAGCAUACCUUGUUUAUGAUUUGCACUUCUCACUUAUUUAGUGAAAGGGAAUUAGGCUUACACCUAGUUCCUAAAUAAUUUUGGUGGUUGAAUUGCCCAACACAAGUAAUUGGACUAACUAGUUUGCUCCAGUGUAUAAGUUAUACAGGUGUCAAAGGUUCACAUCAAGCCAAUUAAAAAGACCAAAGUUGGGUUCAAAAUAGAGAGCUAAAGGCAUCCCGAAAGGCUCCCUGGUCUGGCGCACCGGACUGUCCGGUGGCGCACUGGACAGUGUCCGGUGCACCAGGGGACUUCGCGCAAAACUCCUCAGCCUCGGGAUUUUCCUGAAGCCAGCGCGCUAUAAUUCACCAGACUGUCCGGUGUACACCGGACAGUGUCCGGUGCUCCAAGAGGACGCGGCUACGGAACUUGGCAGCCUCGGGAAUUCACAGCGGUUGCUCCGCUAUAAUUCACCGGACAUGUCCGGUGUACACCGGACUGUCCGGUGCAACUACGGGGCAACGGCUACUUCGCGCCAACGGUCACCUGCAACAGCAAUAAAUGCGCGCCAGAGCGCGCAGGCAUCAGGCACGCCCAUGCUGGCGCACCGGACACUCUACAGUACAUGUCCGGUGCGCCACCGGACAUCCAGGCGGGCCCAGAAGUUAGAACUCCAACGGACAAAUUGCAACGGCUUUAGUGACGUGGCUGGCGCACCGGACUGUCCGGUGCACCAUACGACAGACAGCCUCCACCAACGGUCAUGUUUGGUGGUUGGGGCUAUAAAUACCCCAACCACCCCACCAUUCAUUGCAUCCAAGUUUUCCAGCUUCCAACCACUAUACAAGAGCUAGCAUUCAUUGCAAAGCACACCAAAAGAGAUCAAAUCCUCUCCCAACUCCACACAAAGACUUAGUGACUAGAGAGAGUGAUUUAUAGUGUUCAUUUGAGCUCUUGCGCUUGGAUCGCUUCUUUUCUUUGGCAUUCUUUCUUGUGAUCAAACACUCACUUGUAAUUGAGGCAAGAGACACCAAUUGUGUGGUGGUCCUUGCGGGAAGUUUGAUUCCCAAGUGAUUUGAGAAAGAGAAGCUCACUCGGUCCGAGGGACCGUUUGAGAGAGGGAAGGGUUGAAAGAGACCCGACCUUUGUGGCCUCCUCAACGGGGAGUAGGUUUGCAAGAACCGAACCUCGGUAAAACAAAUCCGCGUGUCACACUCUUCAUUUGCUUGCGAUUUGUUUUGCGCCCUCUCUCUCGGACUUAUUAUUAUUUCUAACGCUAACCCGGCUUGUAGUUGUGUUUAUAUUUGUAAAUUUCAGUUUCGCCCUAUUCACCCCCCUCUAGGCGACUAUCAAUUGGUAUCAGAGCCGGUGCUUCAUUAGAGCCUAACCGCUCGAAGUGAUGUCGGGAGAUCACGCCAAGAAGGAGAUGGAGACCGGCGAAAAGCCCACUACAAGCCACGGGAACACUUCAUCGGAAGAGUCCCGCACCAAGAGGAAGGAGAAGAAAGACUCCUCCAAAGGGAAGGAGAAGAAAUCUUCUUCACACAAAGAGAAGAAGGAGAAGUCUUCCUCCCACAAGCCGCAACGGAGUGGGGACAAGAAAAAGAGGAUGAGGAAAGUGGUCUACUACGAGACCGAUUCUUCAUCAGCCUCCACCUCCGGCUCCGACGCGGCAUCCGUCACUUCUAAGCGCCAAGAGCGCAAGAAGUAUAGUAAGAUCCCCCUACGCUACCCUCGCAUUUCUAAACAUACACCUUUACUUUCCGUCCCAUUAGGCAAACCACCAACAUUUGAUGGUGAAGAUUACGCUAGGUGGAGUGAUUUAAUGCGAUUUCAUCUAACCUCACUCCACAAAAGCAUAUGGGAUGUUGUUGAGUUUGGUGCACAGGUACCAUCCGUAGGGGAUAAAGACUAUGAUGAGGAUGAGGUAGCCCAAAUCGAGCACUUCAACUCCCAAGCCACAACCAUACUUCUCGCCUCUCUAAGUAGAGAGGAAUACAACAAGGUGCAAGGGUUGAAGAAUGCGAAAGAGAUUUGGGAUCUACUCAAGACCACGCAUGAGGGUGAUGAACUCACCAAGAUUACCAAGCGGGAGAUGAUCGAGGGGGAGCUCGGUCGCUUCCAUCUUCGCCAAGGGGAGGAGCCACAAGAUAUGUACAACCGGCUCAAAACCUUGGUGAACCAAGUGCGCAACCUCGGGAGCAAGAAAUGGGAUGACCACGAGGUGGUUAAGGUUAUUCUUAGAUCACUCUUCUUCCUUAACCCCACUCAAGUUCAAUUAAUUCGUGGUAAUCCUAGAUAUACAUCAAUGUCCCCCGAGGAAGUUAUCGGGAAUUUUGUGAGUUUUGAAUAUAUGAUCAAGGGCUCAAAAAAGAUCAACGAGCUUGAUGAUCCCUCCACAUCCGAAGCACAACCGGUGGCUUUCAAGGCGACAGAGGAGAAGAAGGAGGAGUCUACACCAAGUAGACAACCAAUCGACGCUUCAAAGCUCGACAACGAGGAGAUGGCUUUAAUCAUCAAAAGCUUUCGCCAAAUCCUCAAGCAAUGGAAGGGGAAGGAUUACAAAUCCCGUUCCAAGAAGGUUUGCUACAAGUGUGGUAAGCCCGGUCACUUUAUUGCUAAAUGUCCAUUAUCAAGUGACAGUGACAGGGAUAACGACAAGAAGGGCAAGAGGAGAGAAAAGAAGAGAUACCACAAGAAGAGGGGCGGCGAUGCCCACAUGUGCCGCGAGUGGGACUCCGACGAGAGCUCCACCGACUCCUCCGAUGACGAGGACGCCGCCAACAUCGCCAUCACCAAGGGACUCCUCUUCCCCAACGUCGGCCACAAGUGCCUCAUGGCAAAGGACGGCAAAAAGAAGAAGGUUAAAUCUAAAUCCUCCACUAGAUAUGAGUCCUCUAGUGAUGAUAAUGCUAGUGAUGAGGAAGAUAAUUUGCGUACCAUUUUUGCCAACCUUAACAUGGAACAAAAAGAAAAACUAAAUGAGCUAAUUAGUGCCAUCCAUGAGAAGGAUGAUCUCUUGGACUCCCAAGAGGACUUCCUAAUCAAGGAAAAUAAAAACAUGUUAAGGUUAAAAAUGCUUAUGCUCUAGAGGUAGAAAAAUGUGGGAAAUUAACUAGUGAGCUAAGCACAUGUCAUGACACUAUUGCCAACCUUAGAAAUGAAAAUAAUAAUUUAUUAGCUAAGGUUGAUUCUCAUGUUUGUAAUGUUUCAACUUCCAAUUCUAGAGAUGAUAAUGAUGAUUUACUUGCUAGGAUUGAAGAAUUGAACAUUUCACUUGCUAGCCUUAGGAUUGAAAAUGAGAAAUUGCUUGCUAAGGCUAAAGAUCUUGAUGUUUGCAAUGUUACUAUUUCUAACCUUAGGAGUGAAAACGAUAUAUUACAUGCUAAGGUUAUAGAAUUAAAAUCUUGCAAACCCUCUACAUCUAUCGUUGAGCAUGUAUCUAUUUGUAGUAGAUGUAGAGAUGUUGAUAUUAAUGCUAUUCAUGAUCACAUGUCCUUAAUUAAACAACAAAAUGAUCAUAUAGCAAAAUUAGAUGCUAAAAUUGCCGAGCAUAACUUAGAAAAUGAAAAAUUUAAAUUUGCUAGAAGUAUGCUCUAUAGUGGGAGACGCCCUGGCAUUAAGGAUGGCAUCGGCUUCCAAAGGGGAGACAAUGCCAAAAUUAGUGCCCCUCCUAAGAAAUUGUCAAACUUUGUUAAGGGCAAGGCUCCCAUACCUCAGGAUAACGAGGGUUACAUUUUAUACCCUGCCGUUUAUCCCGAGAGCAAAAUUAGGAGAAUUCAUUCUAGGAAGUCUCACUCUGGCCCUAAUCAUGCAUUUAUGUAUAAGGGUGAGACAUCUAGCUCUAGGCAACCAACCCGUGCUAAGUUGCCUAAGAAGAAAACUCCUAGUGCAUCAAAUGAUCAUGACAUUUCAUUCAAAAAUUUUGAUGCAUCAUAUGUUUUGACUAACAAAUCCGGCAAGGUCGUUGCCAAGUAUGUUGGGGGCAAACACAAGAGCUCCAAAACUUGUGUUUGGGUUCCCAAAGUUCUUGUUUCUAAUGCCAAAGGACCCAAAACCGUUUGGGUACUUAAAGUCAAGAACUAAAAUUGUUUUGUAGGUUUAUGCAUCCGGGGGCUCAAGUUGGAUACUCGACAGCGGGUGCACAAACCAUAUGACAGGGGAGAAGAAGAUGUUCUCCUCCUAUGAGAAAAACCAAGAUCCCCAACGAGCUAUCACAUUCGGGGAUGGAAAUCAAGGUUUGGUCAAAGGUUUGGGUAAAAUAGCUAUAUCCCCUGACCAUUCCAUUUCCAAUGUUUUUCUUGUUGAUUCAUUAGAUUACAAUUUGCUUUCUGUAUCUCAAUUAUGCAAAAUGGGCUACAACUGUCUCUUUACUGAUGUAGGUGUCACUGUCUUUAGAAGAAGUGAUGAUUCAAUAGCAUUUAAGGGUGUGUUAGAGGGUCAGCUGUACUUAGUAGAUUUUGAUAGAGCAGAACUCGACACAUGCUUAAUUGCUAAGACUAACAUGGGCUGGCUCUGGCAUCGCCGACUAGCACAUGUUGGGAUGAAGAAUCUUCACAAGCUUCUAAAGGGAGAGCACAUUUUAGGAUUAACCAAUGUUCAUUUUGAGAAAGACAGGGUUUGUCGCGCAUGCAAGGCAGGAAAGCAAGUUGGAGCCCAUCAUUGUAACGCCCCGAAUUUUGCAGUUGAAUUUUUUCUUUUCUUUACUCGCCAAAAUUCGGGCGUUACCUUUUCUUUUUCUUUUUUCCCUCGCUAAACCUUGACCUUUUCCAAAGUUCUAGCGGGAUUCGGUUUGGAAUUCCCGUGUAAUGAAAAACCCUAAAUACUUUAUGUUGUUUGAUGCACCAUGCCGAACCUUGCAUUUCUUUUGAUUGCUUUGAAAGUGCAAAUGCAUUCAUGUAGAAAGAUCGGAUUUCGAAAAUGAGGAGAAGAUCUUUUCUUUCUUUUUCUCUCUCUUUCUCUCUCCUCUUUUUCUCUCUCUCCCGCGCCGUGGGCCGACCCCGGCCAGCCCAGCCGCCCCUGGCGCCCCCUCUUGGGCCUUGGCAAGCCCAGCCGCCCCCCCCACCUCCCCUUUUCCCCUCAAUUCCCCUCCCCCUCCCUCUCAUUUUCCCUCUCUCUCCCUAGCGCCGCCCCUACCCGCCCCUGCCCUAAGCCGCCGCCGCCGCCCUCGGCCGCCCCCUACUGCCGGCCGCCCCUCGCCGUUGCUCCCCAACGCCGGUGAGCCCCCCCCUCUCCCUCUCCCUCUCCCUCUCCCCUCUCCCCUCCUCUCCCUCCCUGGCCCAACCGCCCAGCCGUCCGGCCGCCUGGCCGCCUGGCCGCCUGGCCCUUGGCCGCCUGGCCGCCCUGGCCGCGCGUCCGCCUGGCCCUUGGCCGCGCGCGCCCUGGCCGCGCCCCCUGGCCGCUCGGCCGGCUCGGCCGCCCUGGCUAGCCCGGCCGCCCCCCCCUGCGCGUCCCCGGCUCAGCCGCCCUCCCCCGCGCGCCCGCCCCAGCUCGGCCGCCCUGCCUAGGGCCGGUUCAACCGCCCCCCCUCAGUUUUUUUUAUUUUUUUUAGUUUAUUUUAUUUACUUUCUGUGAUCCUAGUUACUUUAUUUUAGGUAGGUUAAUCAGUGUUCAUGCCAUUGAAAUAGGAAGCUUAAUUUAGAAUUCCGUUACGCUAAUUGAUUCAUGUGAUUAACUGUUUAUCUCGUGCGAUGUUGAUCAACUUAAAAUGAAUAGGUUUCCAUUAGUGCAUAUAACAGAAUUCUUUUGUCAAGAACCAGUUGUAACUAAUCAUUAGUGCAUAAGAUUUAACCCCCUGCGAGACCUUUUCCCGUUUCUUUUUAAUCAUAAUAAAUGCGAUAUCAAAUGUCAUAUUUGAUGCAUACUCACUUUAUUUGUUCCCUUGUAUGGUGUACUGUUCUUUUGUAUUAAAUAUAUGGAUGUAUGUAUGUUUGCGCUCGCAUAGAGAACGAUCCGGUCGAAGAGCCCGAGGAAUUCGCAGGAGAAGCCCCUGAGCAGCAGUUGGUUGGUGGAGGCAAGUGUCCUUUGACCUAUCUAUGUCCUAUUCAUUAUUUAAUUCACCUCCCGCUUUACACAUUUAUACCUAAGGAUUGACUAGCUUUUGUUAUCCAUGUCCUUGUUUACCUAUCUGGGUUGGAUUAUUACUGUUUAGCUUUAUGCUAUUUGUAACGCCCCGAAUUUUGCAGUUGAAUUUUUUUCUUUUCUUUACUCGCCAAAAUUCGGGCGUUACCUUUUCUUUUUCUUUUUCCCUUCGCUAAACCUUGACCUUUUCCAAAGUUCUAGCGGGAUUCGGUUUGGAAUUCCCGUGUAAGAAAAACCCUAAAUACGUACUUUAUGUUGUUUGAUGCACCAUGCCGAACCUUGCAUUUCUUUUGAUUGCUUUGAAAGCGCAAUUGCAUUCAUGUAGAAAAAUCGGAUUUCGAAAAUGAGGAGAAGAUCUUUUCUUUCUUUUUUCUCUCUCUCUCUUUCUCUCUCCUCUUUUUCUCUCUCUCCCGCGCCGUGGGCCGACCCCGGCCGGCCCAGCCGCCCCUGGCGCCCCCUCUUGGGCCCAAAAAGGACCAGCCGCCCCCCCCCUCAUCCCCCCUUUUUUCCCCAAACCCUCUCCCUCUCCCUCUCAUUUUCUCUCAUUUUCUCUCCCCCACCCUAAGCCGCCGCCGCCUCUACCCCCUGCCCUAAGCCGCCGCCGCCCCCUGCUCGGCCGCCGCUCCCCGCCGUCGGCCGCCCCCGCCGGUGAGCCCCCCCUCUCCUCCCUCUCUCCCUCCUCCCUCCCUCUCCCCUCUCCCCUCCUCCCUCCCCUUGGCAGCCCAGCCGCCCGGCCCCCUGGCCGCGUGCCCUGGCCGGCCGCUGCCGCCCCCUGGCCGCGCGCCCUGGCCGGCCGCUGCCGCGCCCUGGCCGCGCCCAGCCGGCCGCUGCCGCGCCCUGGCCGGUCCCGGCCGCCCCCAGCCCGCCCUCGGCCGCCCGCCCUGGUCGCGCCCCCUGCGCAGGGCCGGUUCAACCGCCCCCCCUUUUUUUAUUUUUUUUAUUUUAUUUUAUUUACUUUCUGUGAUCAUAGCUAUUUUAUUUUAGGUAAGCUAAUCAUUGUUCAUGCCAUUGAAAUAGGAAGUUUAAUUUAAAAUUCCGUUAUGCUAGUUGAUUCAUGUAGUUAAUUGUUUACCUCGUGCAAUGUUGAUCAACUUAAAAUGAUUAGGUUUCCAUUAGUGUAUAUGUAACAGAAUUCUUUUGUUAAGAACCAAUUGUAAUUGAUCGUUAGUGCAUAAGAUUUAACCCCCUGCGAGACCCUUUCCUGUUUCUUUCUAACCAUAACAAAUGCGAUAUCGAAUGUCAUACUUGAUGCAUACUCACUUUAUUUGUUCCCUUGUAUGGUGUACUGUUCUUUUGUAUUAAAUGUGGAUGGAUGUAUGUAUGUUUGCAAUCGCAUAGAGAACGAUCCGGUCGAAGAGCCCGAGGAAUUCGCAGGAGAAGCCCCUGAGCAGCAGUCGGGUGGUGGAGGCAAGUGUCCUUUGACCUAUCUCUGUCCUAUUCAUUAUUUAAUUCACCUCCCGCAUUACACCUUUAUACCUAAGGAUUGACUAGCUUUUGUUAUCCAUGUCCUUGUUUACCUAUUUGGGUUGGAUUAUUACUGUUUAGCUUUAUGCUAUUGCUCAACUCUAAUCAAUGAACAUGAUGAGAUUAUCUAUGAUACGCUGUUUUCCCUUCUCUUAUUAUGAUGUUGUACUUGUGGUAUUCAAGGGGGCUCGAGCGGUUUCUCGAGUGCCUCUCCGUAAGGACCUGUUCUAUGGAUGACCGCCCGGGAAAACAGUGCAACCAUGAGGGUGGAAUGGGAUGCCCUUAGCUGAAUAAUUAGAGGAUCCGGGGUGUAGUUCACUUAGCCGUCGUGCCGUCAAUGGGGCUCGGUGUAUGCGGCUCGCUCUGCCAAGUUUGGGUUCGCCCCUUGGGGAGGAGUGCGGUGCAUUUAGGAAACCUAACGGGUGGCUACAGCCCCGGGGAAUCUUUGUAAAGGCUACGUAGUGAAACCCUGCCUAUUCACCUUGGUAGUGUUUAAGGGUUUGAUCGGCCCGAGGCAAGAGGGAAUCACGGCUUGUGGGUAAAGUGCACAACCUCUGCAGAGUGUUAUGAAACUGAUAUAUCAGCCGUGCUCGCGGUUAUGAGCGGCCAAGGGAGCUCCAGUGAUUAGUGGUACUUGAUAAGAGACCUUUUGGUUUACAGGUGGCAAUGAGAUUGAUGGUUUUGGUUAUGACUAUGGUGCUGGUAAGUGGUAUUCUUUCCGUUUGGAGAGGGUACAUCGGGUUAAUAACUUGGGUUAAUGCUAAAACUUGGCUUUCUACUAGUAAAUAAUAAUCUGACCAACUAAAAGCAACUGCUUGACUUAUCCCCACAUAAAGCUAGUCCACUACAGCCAAACAGGAUACUUGCUGAGUAUGUUGAUGUGUACUCACCCUUGCUCUACACACCAAACCCCCCCCAGGUUGUCAGCAUUGCAACCACUGCUCAGGCGAAGAUGAAGCUGUGGAAGGAGACUUCCAGGAGUUCCAAGACUACGACGAGUUCUAGGUGUGGGUUAGCGGCAACCCCCAGUCGGCUGCCUGUGAAGGCCGCGUUAUCUACGUUUCUUUUCCGCACUUUGAUUUAUUGUAAGAAUAUAUGGACGUCUCAGACGUAUGAUGUAAUCGACUAUUUCCCUUAUUAAUACUAUUUUGAGCACUGUGUGAUGAUGUCCAUAUUAUGUAACUGCUGUGUACGUGAAUAACUGAUCCUGGCACGUACAUGGUUCGCAUUCGGUUUGCCUUCUAAAACCGGGUGUGACAUAAGUGGUAUCAAAGCCGUGCUGACUGUAGGACCGCUAACCUAGAGUAGAAUGGUCGUUCUAAGGACUAUAGACCUCUGUCCCUUCCUUGACUUUGUCAUCCCUUCAAAAGUUGGUCAUACCGACCAAACCUAUGUUCUACUAUAUAUUAUACCUUGCUGAAAAACAUGUUUUAUUCUAAUCCUUCAUUCACUUAUGAUUCAUUAUUUGCUGGUCAUAUUGAUUCUGUUCUCACCCUUUUGCUUGCGAUGUCUUUUGUAGAUGGCUAGACUUAGACACACUGCACGUAAGUCAGUCAUCCCCUUCUUACCCUCCCGCCUUGCUGAGCGUCCGCUUCGCCGCCCCGUGGCCGGACAGUCCAGCCACUUGGAGAGACUGCACCACCGCCUGCUUGAGGAGCAGGAACGUCGACGACAGGAGCAGGAGCAGCAGAGCUCUUCCUUCUCGCUCCACCAGGAGAUAGAGUCUGUGAGGAGCUGCUCCCCUGUGCUUCCUCUGGAGCCGCCCCCUGCAUCACCACUGGGCGCCCCAGCUUCUGGAGUAGCUGCUGGAGGAGACCCAGACGACGGAGAUGGCGAUGACAGCUCGAGCCACGACACCGACUUCUCUGCUAACCUUGAGCCGGAAGGAUGGGUUGCUCGACCCAUCACUCGCGACGCUGCUCGCGGGUGUCACUUCCACGAUGCGCUCGACACCCUGCUACGUCGGGCAUUUGACCGGCAUACUUGGUCCGUCGAGUAUCGCUGUGUGGUCUACCAGCAUAGUCGCGGGGUCUACCCGGACCGCUGGGAGGCGACUUGCUUGGUGCGCUGCCCGGAGAACAGUCUCCAGGGUGCAGAGGCUUGUUCAGAGCACUAUUCUAUUUCUGAGCGGGACUCAGCUGAGGCAGCCAUGCAAGAUGCUGCACGGCGUGCGCUUUCGCACUACUGCUCGGUUUUCGGUGGGGCAGCUGACGGUCUUGACCUGAAGUAUUACCCCCGCCGUCCAUCUGGCAGCACAGGAGGCGUGAUUGUCUCACCUGUCGGUGAGGGCAAUCCUAGGUUGAGCAGCACAGUCAACCUAGCCGCCGUGCUAAACACGGAGCUGGACCAUGCAUUAGACGAGCUGAGUAGGGCUCGUGCUGAGAUCGCCCUGCUGCGGGCUGAGCGCGCGGAACGUCGUCACCUGGAUGGUGGUUCCCCCGCUCCCGUUGGGACUCAGCACCCGUACCGCUCACCUCAGCGUGGACACCAGUCUUAUGGCAAUCCCGACUGCAAGACCAAGAUAACUCUAGAACCAUAGAUCGUUAGAGUUGGAUCUUGUAAUUAAUACGAAAAAUAUACGUAGAAGCUUCAGUCUUAGCGUUAGUCUCAGUUUUAGUUAGUCUUAGUUAGACAGGGUAGUUUGCUAUAUCCUGUGCAUUUAUGUUUGUCAUGAUGAACUAUGAUUGGUUUGGAUCUUUGUAAUGAUUGUCACCAGAGUGUGGGUAUCCCCUGCAUUUUGGUUUACCUAUUAUGUUAAUAAAGUUAGUUAUAUAGUUGGGAAACCUUUUAUUCCACUUUCCUUUCUAUCUGAGAAGCUGUGUGGUCUGUGUUGGAGAUCAGUGAAGAUGCUCAUCUGUUCAGUGCUGUUGAAGAAUUCUAUACUCUUCUCUUAUGCUGCAAGAUUUGCCAGAUCAGUUUUGAUGUGUGGUUGCAUUCUGCAGAUGUCAGAGAAUAGGCGCAGAGGAGGAAGGCGUGCUCAGCAGGAGCGAGCCGCUCAACAGGAGGAGGCGCCCCAGCAGCAGCAGCUGCCACCCCCGCCCCCGAUGUCCAUCGAGCAGAUGUUUCUGAUGCAGACUCAGGCAGUUCAAGCCAUCGGUCAGACUUUGGCCGCCAUUCAGCAGCAGCAGCAGCAACAGCAGCAAGCACCACCUCAGCCUCAGAUGCCUUAGAUGCCCAGAGACAAGCGUGCUGAAUUCAUGAGAGGUCAUCCACCAACGUUCGCUCACUCUUCUGACCCUAUGGAUGCUGAAGAUUGGCUGCGCACUGUGGAGCGGGAGUUGCAUACCGCUCAGUGCGAUGACAGGGAGAAACUUCUGUAUGGUCCCCGUCUGUUGAGAGGAGCAGCCCAGUCAUGGUGGGAGUCUUAUCUCGCCACCCAUGCCAACCCCGACACCAUCACCUGGGAAGAAUUCAGAGGUAGCUUUCGUCAGUACCAUGUUCCUGCAGGUCUGAUGACAGUGAAGAAGGAGGAGUUCCUGGCUCUCAAGCAAGGGCCAUUGUCUGUCAGUGAGUACCGGGACAAGUUUCUGCAAUUGUCUCGCUAUGCUCCUGAAGAUGUCAACACCGAUGCCAAGCGGCAGUACCGUUUCCUGAGAGGCUUGGUUGACCCUCUGCAGUAUCAGCUGAUGAACCACACCUUCCCGACAUUCCAGCACCUGAUUGAUAGAGCAAUCAUGACGGAGAGAAAGCGCAAGGAGAUGGAAGAUCGUAAGCGCAAGAUCAGUGGACCGCAGUCUGGAAGCAGCAGUCGUCCUCGUUUCUCAGGCAAUCAACCUCAGCAGUUCAGGCAGAACCAGCGUCCACCUCAGCAGCAUCAGCAGUUUCAAAGGCAGUAUCCUCAGAAUCAGUACCAGAACCGUCAGAGCAAUCAGUCAGGAGGUCAGUUUCAAGGGCAGAAUUAGCAGGCCCCUCGUCUUCCUGCCCCAGCAAAUCAGCAGAACAGUCAGGCAGCACCAGCUCAGGUUGGAAACAGAGCAUGUUUCCACUGUGGAGAGCAAGGCCACUGGGUGAUGCAAUGUCCGAAGAAGGCAGCCCAGCAGCAGUCAGGCCCCAAUGCCCCAGCAAAGCAGAAUGUGUCUCAGCCUGGAGCAGGCAAUCGCCCUCUGCCGCGCUAUAAUCAUGGAAGGCUGAACCACUUGGAGGCUGAAGCAGUUCAGGAGACCCCCGGCAUGAUAGUAGGUAUGUUCCCAGUCGACUCCCAUAUUGCAGAAGUGUUAUUUGAUACUGGAGCAACGCAUUCUUUCAUUACUGCAUCAUGGGUAGAAGCACAUAAUCUUCCAACUACUACCAUGUCAACCCCCAUUCAAAUUUACUCAGCCGGUGGUAGAAUUCGAGCCGAUAGCAUUUGUUUGAAUAUAAGUGUGAAAAUAAGGGGGAUAGCGUUUCCCGCCAACCUUAUAGUAAUGGGUACUCAGGGAAUAGAUGUCAUCCUAGGGAUGAAUUGGCUAGAUAAGUAUCAGGCAGUUAUCAGUUGUGAUAAAAGGACAAUAAAGUUGGUGUCCCCACUAGGAGAGGAAGUGGUGACCGAGUUAGUCCCGCCUGAGCCAAAGAAAGGAAGUUGUUAUCAGAUAGUUGUUGAUAGCAGUGAAGCAGACCCGAUCGAGAGCAUCAAGGUUGUGUCUGAAAUCCCAGAUGUGUUUCCAAAGGACUUACCGGGUAUGCCACCAGAGCGGAAAGUUGAGUUUGCUAUAGAGCUUCUUCCUGGAACCGCCCCUAUCUUUAAGAGAGCUUACAGAAUAUCUGGACCAGAGUUGGAUGAGCUUAAGAAGCAAAUUGAUGAGCUGUCAGAGAAAGGUUACAUUCGGCCAAGCACCUCGCCUUGGGCCGCCCCUGUCCUAUUUGUGGAGAAGAAAGAUGGCACCAAGAGGAUGUGUAUUGAUUAUCGAGCUUUGAAUGAGGUCACGAUCAAGAACAAGUACCCCUUGCCCAGAAUAGAAGAUCUGUUCGACCAGUUGAGAGGAGCCAGUGUGUUCUCCAAGAUUGAUCUGAGGUCAGGUUAUCAUCAGCUCAGGAUCCGACCUUCGGACAUUCCGAAGAUGGCAUUCAUUUCCAAGUAUGGGUUGUAUGAGUUCACGGUGAUGUCAUUUGGUUUGACCAAUGCGCCAGCGUUCUUCAUGAACUUGAUGAACAGUGUAUUCAUGGAUUACCUUGAUAAGUUUGUGGUGGUAUUCAUUGAUGACAUUCUGAUUUAUUCCCAAAGCGAAGAAGAGCACGCAGAUCAUUUGAGGAUGGUAUUGCAGAGAUUGCGAGAGCACCAGUUGUACGCAAAGUUGAGCAAGUGUGAGUUCUGGAUCAGUGAAGUCCUGUUCUUGGGUCACGUAAUCAACAAGGAAGGAUUGGCUGUGGAUCCGAAGAAAGUGGCGGACAUUUUGAACUGGAAAGCGCCAACAGAUGCUAGAGGAAUCAAGAGUUUCAUUGGAAUGGCCGGAUAUUAUCGGUGAUUCAUUGAAGGGUUUUCGAAGAUUGCGAAACCAAUGACAGCGUUGCUAGGCAACAAAGUUGAGUUCAAGUGGACCCAGAAAUGUCAAGAGGCCUUUGAAGCGCUGAAAGAGAAGUUGACUACAGCGCCUGUCCUAGUCUUGCCCAAUGUGCACAAGCCCUUUUCGGUGUAUUGUGAUGCUUGUUACACAGGUUUGGGAUGUGUGUUGAUGCAAGAGGGAAGAGUUGUGGCUUACUCGUCCCGACAGCUGAAGGUUCAUGAGAAGAACUACCCAAUCCAUGACCUAGAGUUGGCAGCAGUGGUUCACGCACUGAAGACAUGGAGGCACUAUCUGUAUGGACAGAAAUGCGAUGUUUACACAGACCACAAGAGUCUGAAGUACAUAUUCACUCAGUCAGAGUUGAACAUGAGGCAACGAAGAUGGUUAGAGCUGAUCAAAGACUAUGAGUUGGAGAUUCAUUACCAUCCAGGCAAAGCAAACGUAGUGGCAGAUGCUUUAAGCAGAAAAGGUCAAGUCAAUCUGAUGGUUGCUCGUCCGAUGCCUUAUGAGUUGGCCAAGGAGUUCGACAGGUUGAGUCUCGGAUUUCUGAACAAUUCGCGAGGAGUCACAGUUGAGUUGGAACCUACCUUGGAGCGCGAAAUCAAAGAAGCGCAGAAGAAUGAUGAAAAGAUCAGUGAGAUUCGGCGACUGAUUCUAGAAGGCAAAGGCAAAGAUUUUCGAGAAGAUGCAGAAGGCGUGAUAUGGUUCAAAGACCGCUUAUGUGUUCCCAAUGUCCAGUCCAUUCGGGAGUUGAUUCUUAAGGAAGCUCAUGAGACAGCUUAUUCGAUUCACCCUGGCAGUGAGAAGAUGUAUCAGGAUCUGAAGAGGAAAUUCUGGUGGUAUGGAAUGAAGAGGGAAAUCGCAGAGCAUGUGGCUAUGUGCGAUAGUUGCCAAAGAAUUAAGGCAGAGCACCAGAGACCUGCUGGAUUGUUGCAACCGUUGCAGAUCCCUCAGUGGAAAUGGGAUGAAAUUGGUAUGGAUUUCAUAGUCGGAUUGCCUCGCACUCGAGCCGGCUACGAUUCUAUUUGGGUAGUGGUGGACCGUUUGACCAAGUCAGCCCACUUCAUACCUGUCAAGACCAGCUACAACAGUGCAGUAUUGGCAGAGUUGUACAUGUCUCGGAUCGUUUGUCUUCAUGGUGUGCCAAAGAAGAUAGUGUCAGACAGAGGAACGCAGUUCACCUCUCAUUUCUGGCAGCAGUUGCAUGAAGCCUUGGGCACACAUCUGAAUUUCAGUUCAGCUUAUCACCCGCAGACAGAUGGUCAGACUGAAAGAACCAAUCAAAUUCUUGAAGACAUGUUGAGAGCCUAUGCGUUGCAAGAUCAGUCCGGAUGGGACAAGCGAUUGCCUUAUGCAGAGUUUUCCUAUAACAACAGUUACCAGGCCAGUUUGAAGAUGUCACCAUUUCAGGCGCUCUAUGGAAGGAGUUGCAGAACUCCGCUGCAAUGGGAUCAGCCUGGAGAAAAGCAAGUGUUUGGGCCAGACAUUUUGCUUGAAGCCGAAGAGAACAUCAAGAUGGUUCGAGAGAAUCUGAAGAUAGCGCAAUCGAGGCAGCGAAGCUAUGCAGACACAAGAAGAAGAGAGCUGAGUUUUGAAGUCGGAGAUUUUGUCUAUCUGAAAGUGUCACCGAUCAGAGGAGUCAGAAGAUUCGGAGUGAAAGGCAAGCUAGCACCCCGCUACAUUGGUCCGUAUCAAAUUCUCUCAAAGCGUGGAGAAGUGGCUUAUCAGCUCAGCCUGCCAGAGAAUUUGUCUGCUGUGCAUGAUGUCUUUCAUGUGUCUCAGUUGAAGAAGUGCUUGCGUGUGCCAGAAGAGCAGUUGCCAGUGGAAGGUCUUGAGGUCCAGGAGGACUUGACCUAUGUUGAGAAGCCAGCUCAGAUCCUUGAGAUUGCAGACAGAGUCACCCGAAGGAAGACCAUCAGAAUGUGCAAAGUCAGAUGGAAUCACCACUCUGAGGAAGAAGCAACCUGGGAGCGUGAAGAUGAUCUAGUGGCCAAGUACCCAGAGCUCUUUGCUAGCGAGCCCUGAAUCUCGAGGGCGAGAUUCUUUUAAGGGGGAUAGGUUUGUAACGCCCCGAAUUUUGCAGUUGAAUUUUUUUCUUUUCUUUACUCGCCAAAAUUCGGGCGUUACCUUUUCUUUUUCUUUUUCCCUUCGCUAAACCUUGACCUUUUCCAAAGUUCUAGCGGGAUUCGGUUUGGAAUUCCCGUGUAAGAAAAACCCUAAAUACUUUAUGUUGUUUGAUGCACCAUGCCGAACCUUGCAUUUCUUUUGAUUGCUUUGAAAGCGCAAUUGCAUUCAUGUAGAAAGAUCGGAUUUCGAAAAUGAGGAGAAGAUCUUUUCUUUCUUUUUUCUCUCUCUCUUUCUCUCUCCUCUUUUUCUCUCUCUCCCGCGCCGUGGGCCGACCCCGGCCGGCCCAGCCGCCCCUGGCGCCCCCUCUUGGGCCCAAAAAGGCCCAGCCGCCCCCCCCCUCAUCCCCCCUUUUUUCCCCAAACCCUCUCCCUCUCCCUCGCACAAACCAAGCCAUCAGCGCCAUGGAGAUCUCCACCUGGUGCGCGCGCCUCCUCCUACCUCCCAGAUCCGCGCGCUGAACCAAAACGGCCCGGCCGGUGCUCGCGGGUAUAAAACCUCCAGCCGCGAGCCUCUCGCCCUCUGUUGGGCAUAUCUAGAGCACCACGAGACCGCUAAGAAAGGAGUGAAAUGCCAGCGGUCGUCGGAGGGCCGAUUCUGCGAUUCCAAGACGUCCGUGACUCCCUGGCCAACACCGUCGCGUCCCAUCAUCGGGUGAAGCUGUCUCUGCGGCUUGGGUGCGCGGAGGGUUCCUCAGAGCACCUCAAUUUCGCAUUGACGACCUCGUCGCCGCCGUGAAGUCAUUCACACCGUGGUCAAGCAUUUCGGCCACACCAUUACCGGUUAGGACUUCACCAUUUGGUUCGCCUUAUCUUGUUGUGCAUUUAAGUCGGGGGAAUUUGGGAUUAGUGCUCGGGCGUACGGGCGUGGCUCUCGCCGGCUGGGCGCCACCGUGGUCUGGGGUGCGCCACCGUGGUGAUGCCAUCAGCGGGAGAGAUGAGCUGAUGACCGUCGAUCCGAGUGCCGACGGUCGGGAUUAGAUUAGAAAUAACCUUUCGCUAAGGGAAAAUCUGACCGCUCAAUUUGGAUUGGACGGCCAUGGUGAGUCGAAGCCUAAUAAAAUCAGGGGCGUUGGAUCGAGAUUGGGCGGUUCUGCGUCGUCCGUGAAUUCAUAAUGCACUGGAUCUAAUCUCGAUCGUCCAUCUCAGAUCGUAUGGCCUAGAAUGUGCGAUACCCUUUCGCCGUGGCAAUAUUACUGAAGAGACCCCGUAGAACCCGAUAAACAACCCGCCGUCCCCUCGGAGUAUUUACUGAGUCUGAGUACCUUUUUGGUUAAGUCCCUGUGUUUUCGGCUAAUAGUAGGCGCAGUCCAGUGAAUAGAAAAGACAGGAAAAAGAAAUAGAAAUCUAUUUUUAAUAUAAAAAUAAUGACUAGAGUUUGUUUAAUUCAUAUAAAAUUCAUAGGGUGUCCAAAUUAAUCCAUUUCAAUUGCUAUAAUUUUAUAAUAAUGUUGUUUAUCACCUAAUGUCACUGUUUUUACAUGAAAACAGUAAGAAAAUUAAUUCCUCAUCUAAUCCUAUUUUAAUCACAUUAAACCUUAGGAAAUUCAUAACUUGAAUUCUAUAACUCCAAAUUUAGUGAUUCCAGUUCCUAUGAUCUCAUUUUAAUGUGUAGAUUUUUACUGUGUAUUUUAUUUACAUGUUUGGUGUGAUGUUGAUUUUGGCUAUACUAUGUAUGUAUUGUGUUGAUGCGAGUAGACGAGCAAGCCACUGUGGAAUCUGAGGUUCAGCAGGUAGAGAUAGCUGAGCAGGAGCUCAUUGAAGGCAAGUUGUGCCCUUGAUCACUUACUUUUCCCAGCCAUGUUCUUAUUAAUUUUAAUGAUCUGCAUAGGUUAAUUUUGAUGGGAUCCUUUAGGUUACCCCAGUUUUGGUUAUCUUUAUACCUUGUUCACCCCUGAAAUAUUUUUGGGUAGUACCUGCUAUUGCUAUAUGUGGAUUGGGUAUGGAGAUACACUAUUCAUGAUUAUUCUGUUAUUAUCUUGUUAUUAUUAUUGUUCAUGUUAAGAUCAUUAAAUUAAUGGGAACAUGGAGCGACCACCCGGGAAAACAGUGCUACCACAAGGGUUUAAUGGGACGCCCUUGGCUAAUUAACUAGGAAAGCUAGUGGAGGUCUUCCUUACCCGAAAGGGGCAAGGGCAGUAGGGGAGUGGUCAGUGUAGGGAGGUCCUUGUUUGAUUUUGCUGCGAUGGCGGUCAGGCAAGAACCCUGCACUGGAGCUUCCUAUAAACUGUAGCGGGAUUUCUGAAGCUAGUGGAACUUUGUAAAGGCCUCGUAGUGUUACCCUGCCUCGCCUCCUCGGUAGAGGUGUAUGGGAUUGGCCAUCUCUUGGCAGAUGGGUAACAUGACUUGUGGGUAAAGAUGCGCAACCUCUGCAGAGUGUAAAACUGGUAUACUAGCCGUGCUCACGGUCAUGAGCGGCUCGGACCCUCACAUGAUUAAUUAUGGAACUUAAAUUCAAUUUGACAUUUGCAUCGCAUUUGGGAUUAUUUUACUAUUACUUUUCUUUAUUAUUAUUAAGGUUUGGUAUUUACUUACACUUAGUAAUUGCUAAUAAAAUUUUGACCAACUUAUAAAAGCAAUGCUCAGCCUCAGCCUUUAUUUCAUUGAUCAGCCUUACACUUCAUGAACUCCCACCUUUGGUGAGUUCAUGUCACAUUAUUCCCCACAACUUGUUGAGCGAUGAACAUGUGUGAGCUCACCCUUGCUGUCUCACACCCCCCCCCACAGGAGAAGAACAGGUGGUCGAAGAGGAGUCGCCUAACACUGAGGCAUUCGACUUGAUCUAGGUGGCGUUUCUCAGUCGACAUUGGCGCCGACGAUCCUUAGUUCGUUUUAUAUUUACUCUUUUAUUUUGUAAUAAGACUUCCGCUAUGUAAUAAAUACUCUGAUGAUUGUGACAUUUAUCUCUAUACACUCUGUUAUUAUAUGUGUUGUCUUCUUGGCGCAUGUAUGAGAUGCACCCGGCUUUGUCCUUUAAAGCCGGGUGUGACACGUGGGCCGACCCCGGCCGGCCCAGCCGCCCCUGGCGCCCCCUCUUGGGCCCAAAAAGGCCCAGCCGCCCCCCCCUCAUCCCCCCUUUUUUCCCCAAACCCUCUCCCUCUCCCUCUCAUUUUCUCUCAUUUUCUCUCCCCCACCCUAAGCCGCCGCCGCCUCUACCCCCUGCCCUAAGCCGUCGCCGCCCCCUGCUCGGCCGCCGCUCCCCGCCGUCGGCCGCCCCCGCCGGUGAGCCCCCCCUCUCCUCCCUCUCUCCCUCCUCCCUCCCUCUCCCCUCUCCCCUCCUCCCUCCCCUUGGCAACCCAGCCGCCCGGCCCCCUGGCCGCGCGCCCUGGCCGGCCGCUGCCGCCCCCUGGCCGCGCGCCCAGGCCGGCCGCUGCCGCGCCCUGGCCUCGCCCAGCCGGCCGCUGCCGCGCCCUGGCCGGUCCCGGCCGCCCCCAGCCCGCCCUCGGCCGCCCGCCCUGGCCGCGCCCCCUGCGCAGGGCCGGUUCAACCGCCCCCCCUCUGUUUUUUUUAUUUUUUUAUUUUAUUUUAUUUACUUUCUGUGAUCAUAGCUAUUUUAUUUUAGGUAAGCUAAUCAUUGUUCAUGCCAUUGAAAUAGGAAGUUUAAUUUAAAAUUCCGUUAUGCUAGUUGAUUCAUGUAGUUAAUUGUUUACCUCGUGCAAUGUUGAUCAACUUAAAAUGAUUAGGUUUCCAUUAGUGUAUAUGUAACAGAAUUCUUUUGUUAAGAACCAAUUGUAAUUGAUCGUUAGUGCAUAAGAUUUAACCCCCUGCGAGACCCUUUCCCGUUUCUUUCUAACCAUAACAAAUGCGAUAUCGAAUGUCAUACUUGAUGCAUACUCACUUUAUUUGUUCCCUUGUAUGGUGUACUGUUCUUUUGUAUUAAAUGUGGAUGGAUGUAUGUAUGUUUGCAAUCGCAUAGAGAACGAUCCGGUCGAAGAGCCCGAGGAAUUCGCAGGAGAAGCCCCUGAGCAGCAGUCGGGUGGUGGAGGCAAGUGUCCUUUGACCUAUCUCUGUCCUAUUCAUUAUUUAAUUCACCUCCCGCAUUACACCUUUAUACCUAAGGAUUGACUAGCUUUUGUUAUCCAUGUCCUUGUUUACCUAUUUGGGUUGGAUUAUUACUGUUUAGCUUUAUGCUAUUGCUCAACUCUAAUCAAUGAACAUGAUGAGAUUAUCUAUGAUACGCUGUUUUCCCUUCUCUUAUUAUGAUGUUGUACUUGUGGUAUUCAAGGGGGCUCGAGCGGUUUCUCGAGUGCCUCUCCGUAAGGACCUGUUCUAUGGAUGACCGCCCGGGAAAAUAGUGCAACCAUGAGGGUGGAAUGGGAUGCCCUUAGCUGAAUAAUUAGAGGAUCCGGGGUGUAGUUCACUUAGCCGUCGUGCCGUCAAUGGGGCUCGGUGUAUGCGGCUCGCUCUGCCAAGUUUGGGUUCGCCCCUUGGGGAGGAGUGCGGUGCAUUUAGGAAACCUAACGGGUGGCUACAGCCCCGGGGAAUCUUUGUAAAGGCUACGUAGUGAAACCCUGCCUAUUCACCUUGGUAGUGUUUAAGGGUUUGAUCGGCCCGAGGCAAGAGGGAAUCACGGCUUGUGGGUAAAGUGCACAACCUCUGCAGAGUGUUAUGAAACUGAUAUAUCAGCCGUGCUCGCGGUUAUGAGCGGCCAAGGGAGCUCCAGUGAUUAGUGGUACUUGAUAAGAGACCUUUUGGUUUACAGGUGGCAAUGAGAUUGAUGGUUUUGGUUAUGACUAUGGUGCUGGUAAGUGGUAUUCUUUCCGUUUGGAGAGGGUACAUCGGGUUAAUAACUUGGGUUAAUGCUAAAACUUGGCUUUCUACUAGUAAAUAAUAAUCUGACCAACUAAAAGCAACUGCUUGACUUAUCCCCACAUAAAGCUAGUCCACUACAGCCAAACAGGAUACUUGCUGAGUAUGUUGAUGUGUACUCACCCUUGCUCUACACACCAAACCCCCCCCCCAGGUUGUCAGCAUUGCAACCACUGCUCAGGCGAAGAUGAAGCUGUGGAAGGAGACUUCCAGGAGUUCCAAGACUACGACGAGUUCUAGGUGUGGGUUAGCGGCAACCCCCAGUCGGCUGCCUGUGAAGGCCGCGUUAUCUACGUUUCUUUUCCGCACUUUGAUUUAUUGUAAGAACUAUAUGGACGUCUCAGACGUAUGAUGUAAUCGACUAUUUCCCUUAUUAAUACUAUUUUGAGCACUGUGUGAUGAUGUCCAUAUUAUGUAACUUCUGUGUACGUGAAUAACUGAUCCUGGCACGUACAUGGUUCGCAUUCGGUUUGCCUUCUAAAACCGGGUGUGACACUAUUGCUCAAACUCUAAUCAAUGAACAUGAUGAGAUUAUCUAUGAUACGCUGUUUUCCCCUCUCUUAUUAUGAUGUUAUGCUUGUGGUCUUCAAGGGGGCUCGAGCGGUUUCUCGAGUGCCUCUCCGUAAGGACCUGUUCUAUGGAUGACCGCCCGGGAAAACAGUGCAACCAUGAGGGUAGAAUGGGGUGCCCUUAGCUGAAUAAUUAGAGGAUCCGGGGUGUAGUUCACUUAGCCGUCGUGCCGUCAAUGGGGCUCGGUGUAUGCGGCUCGCUCUGCCAAGUUUGGGUUCGCCCCUUGGGGAGGAGUGCGGUGCAUUUAGGAAACCUAACGGGUGGCUACAGCCCCGGGGAAUCUUUGUAAAGGCUACGUAGUGAUGCCCUGCUAGGCCACCUAGGUAGUGGUCAAUGGGGAGUAGCUCUCUCCGGGCAGAAUGGGAAUCACGGCUUGUGGGUAAAGUGCACAACCUCUGCAGAGUGUUUGAAAACUGAUAUAUCAGCCGUGCUCGCGGUUAUGAGCAGCCAAGGGAGCUCCAGAGAUUAGUGAUACUUGAUCAGAGAUACUUUGGUACAGGUGACAAUGAGAUUGAUGGUUCUGAUUACGAUUAUGGUAUUGGUAAGUGGUAUUCUUUCCGUUUGGAAAGGAUACAUUGGGCUAAUAACUUGGGUUAAUGUUAAAACCUGGCUUUCUACUAAUAAGUAAUAACCUGACCAACUAAAAGCAACUGCUUGACUUAUCCCCACAUAAAGCUAGUCCACUACAGCCAAACAGGAUACUUGCUGAGUAUGUUGAUGUGUACUCACCCUUGCUCUACACACCAAACCCCCCCCCAGGUUGUCAGCAUUGCAACCACUGCUCAGGCGAAGAUGAAGCUGUGGAAGGAGACUUCCAGGAGUUCCAAGACUACGACGAGUUCUAGGUGUGGGUUAGCGGCAACCCCCAGUCGGCUGCCUGUGAAGGCCGCGUUAUCUACGUUUCUUUUCCGCACUUUGAUUUAUUGUAAGGACUAUAUGGACAUCUCAGACGUAUGAUGUAAUCGACUAUUUCCCUUAUUAAUACUAUUUUGAGCACUGUGUGAUGAUGUCCAUAUUAUGUAACUGCUGUGUACGUGAAUAACUGAUCCUGGCACGUACAUGGUUCGCAUUCGGUUUGCCUUCUAAAACUGGGUGUGACAUAAGUGGUAUCAAAGCCGUGCUGACUGUAGGACCGCUAACCUAGAGUAGAAUGGUCGUUCUAAGGACUAUAGACCUCUGUCCCUUCCUUGACUUUGUCAUCCCUUCAAAAGUUGGUCAUACCGACCAAACCUAUGUUCUACUAUAUAUUAUACCUUGCUGAAAAACAUGUUUUAUUCUAAUCCUUCAUUCACUUAUGGUUCAUUAUUUGCUGGUCAUAUUGAUUCUGUUCUCACCCUUUUGCUUGCGAUGUCUUUUGUAGAUGGCUAGACUUAGACACACUGCACGUAAGUCAGUCAUCCCCUUCUUACCCUCCCGCCUUGCUGAGCGUCCGCUUCGCCGUCCCGUGGCCGGACAGUCCAGCCACUUGGAGAGACUACACCACCGCCUGCGUGAGGAGCAGGAACGUCGACGACAGGAGCAGCAGAGCUCUUCUUUCUCGCUCCACCAGGAGAUAGAGUCUGUGAGGAGCUGCUCUCCUGUGCUUCCUCUGGAGGCGCCCCCUGCACCACCACUGGGCGCCCCAGCUUCUGGAGUAGCUGCUGGAGGAGACCCAGACGACGGAGAUGGCGACGACAGCUCGAGCCACGACACCGACUUCUCUGCUAACCCUGAGCCGGAAGGAUGGGUUGCUCGACCCAUCACUCGCGACGCUGCUCGCGGUGUCACUUCCACGAUGCGCUCGACACCCUGCUACGUCGGGCAUUCGACCGGCAUACUUGGUCCGUCGAGUAUCGCUGUGUGGUCUACCAGCAUAGUCGUGGGGUCUACCCGGACCGCUGGGAGGCGACUUGCUUGGUGCGCUGCCCGGAGGACAGUCUCCAGGGUGCAGAGGCCUGCUCAGAGCACUAUUCUAUCUCUGAACGGGACUCAGCUGAGGCAGCCAUGCAAGAUGCUGCACGGCGUGCGCUUUCGCACUACUGCUCGGUUUUCGGUGGGGCAGCUGACGGUCUUGACCUGAAGUAUUACCCCCGCCGUCCAUCUGGCAGCACAGGAGGCGUGAUUGUCUCACCUGUCGGUGAGGGCAAUCCUAGGUUGAGCAGCACAGUCAACCUAGCCGCCGUGCUAAACACGGAGCUGGACCAUGCAUUAGAUGAGCUGAGUAGGGCUCGUGCUGAGAUCGCCCUGCUGCGGGCUGAGCGCGCGGAACGUCGUCAUCUGGAUGGUGGUUCCCCCGCUCCCGUCGGGACUCAGCACCCGUACCGCUCACCUCAGCGUGGACACCAGUCUUAUGGCAAUCCCGACUGCAAGACCAAGAUAACUCUAGAACCAUAGAUCGUUAGAGUUGGGUCUUGUAAUUAAUACGAAAUAUAUACGUAGAAGCUUCAGUCUUAGCGUUAGUCUCGGUCUUAGUUAGUCUUAGUUAGACAGGGUAGUUUGCUAUAUCCUGUGCAUUUAUGAUUGUCAUGAUGAACUAUGUUUGGUUUGGAUCUUUGUAAUGGCUGUUACCAGAGUGUGGGUAUCCCCUGCAUUUUGGUUUAUCUAUUAUGUUAAUGGAGUUAGUUAUAUAGUUGGGAAACCUUUUAUUCCACUCUCCUCUUUAUCUGAGAAGCUGUGUGGUCUGUGUUGGAGAUCAGUGAAGAUGCUCAUCUGUUCAGUGCUGUUGAAGAAUUCAAUACUCUUUUCUUAUGCUGCAAGAUUUGCCAGAUCAGUUUUGAUGAGUGGUUGCAUUCUGCAGAUGUCAGAGAACAGGCGCAGAGGAGGAAGGCGUGCUCAGCAGGAGCGAGCCGCUCAACAGGAAGAGGUGCCCCAGCAGCAGCACCUGCCGCCCCCGCCCCCGAUGUCCAUCGAGCAGAUGUUUCUGAUGCAAACUCAGGCAGUUCAAGCCAUCGGUCAGACUUUGGCCGCCAUUCAGCAGCAGCAGCAGCAACAGCAGCAAGCACCACCCCAGCCUCAGAUGCCCAGAGACAAGCGUGCUGAAUUCAUGAGAGGUCAUCCCCCAACGUUCGCUCACUCUUCUGACCCUAUGGAUGCUGAAGAUUGGCUGCGCACUGUGGAGCGGGAGUUGCAUACCGCUCAGUGUGAUGACAGGGAGAAAGUCUUGUAUGGUCCCCGUCUGUUGAGAGGAGCAGCCCAAUCAUGGUGGGAGUCUUACCUCGCCACCCAUGCCCACCCUGACGCCAUCACCUGGGAAGAGUUCAGAGGUAGCUUUCGUCAGUACCAUGUUCCUGCAGGUCUGAUGACAGUGAAGAAGGAGGAGUUCCUGGCCCUUAAGCAAGGGUCAUCAUCUGUCAGUGAAUACCGAGACAGAUUUCUGCAAUUGUCUCGCUAUGCUCCUGAAGAUGUCAACACCGACGCCAAGCGACAGUACCGUUUCCUGAGAGGCUUGGUUGACCUUCUGCAGUACCAACUGAUGAAUCACACCUUCCCGACAUUCCAGCACCUGAUUGAUAGAGCGAUCAUGACAAAAAGGAAGCGUAAGGAGAUGGAAGAUCGUAAGCGCAAGAUCAGUGGACCCCAGCCUGGAAGCAGCAGUCGCCCUCGUUUUUCAGGCAAUCAACCUCAGCAGUUCAGGCAGAACCAGCGUCCACCUCAGCAGCGUCAGCAGCAUCAGCAGUUCCCAAGGCAGUAUCCUCAGCACCAGUACAAGAACCGCCAGAGCAAUCAGUCAGGAGGUCAGUUUCAAAGGCAGAAUCAGCAGGCACCUCGUCUUCCUGCCCCAGCAAACCAGCAGAACAGUCAGGCAGCACCAGCUCAGGUUGGAAACAGGGCAUCUUUCCACUGUGGAGAGCAGGGCCAUUGGGUGAUGCAAUGUCCGAAGAAGGCAGCCCAGCAGCAGUCAGGCCCCAAUGCCCCAGCAAAGCAGAAUGUGUCUCAGCCUGGAGCAGGCAACCGCCCUCAACAGCGCUAUAAUCAUGGAAGAUUGAAUCACUUGGAGGCUGAAGCAGUUCAGGAGACCCCCGGCAUGAUAGUAGGUAUGUUCCCAGUCGACUCCCAUAUUGCAGAAGUGUUAUUUGAUACUGGAGCAACGCAUUCUUUCAUUACUGCAUCAUGGGUAGAAGCACAUAAUCUUCCAACUACUACCAUGUCAACCCCCAUUCAAAUUGACUCAGCUGGUGGUAGAAUUCGAGCUGAUAGCAUUUGUUUAAAUAUAAGUGUGGAAAUAAGGGGGAUAGCGUUUCCCGCCAACCUUAUAGUAAUGGGUACUCAGGGAAUAGAUGUCAUCCUAGGGAUGAAUUGGUUAGAUAAGUAUCAGGCAGUUAUCAGUUGUGAUAAAAGGACAAUCAAGUUGGUGUCCCCACUAGGAAAGGAAGUGGUGACCGAGUUAGUCCCACCUGAGCCGAAGAAAGGAAGUUGUUAUCAGAUGGCGGUCGAUAGCAGUGAAGCAGAUCCAGUUGAGAGUAUCAAGGUUGUGUCUGAAUUCCCAGAUGUGUUUCCAAAGGAUUUACCGGGUAUGCCACCAGAGCGGAAAGUUGAGUUUGCUAUAGAGCUUCUUCCUGGAACCGCCCCUAUUUUCAAGAGAGCUUACAGAAUAUCUGGACCAGAGUUGGAUGAACUUAAGAAGCAAAUUGAUGAGCUGUCAGAGAAAGGUUACAUUCGGCCAAGCACCUCGCCUUGGGCCGCCCCUGUCCUAUUUGUGGAGAAGAAAGAUGGCACCAAGAGGAUGUGUAUCGAUUAUCGAGCUUUGAAUGAGGUCACGAUCAAGAACAAGUAUCCUUUGCCCAGAAUAGAGGAUCUGUUCGACCAAUUGAGAGGAGCCAGUGUGUUCUCCAAGAUAGAUCUGAGGUCAGGUUAUCAUCAGCUCAGGAUCCGACCGUCGGACAUUCCGAAGACGGCAUUUAUUACCAAGUAUGGGUUGUAUGAGUUCACAGUGAUGUCUUUUGGUUUGACCAAUGCGCCAGCGUUCUUCAUGAACUUGAUGAACAGUGUAUUCAUGGAUUAUCUCGAUAAGUUUGUGGUGGUAUUCAUUGAUGACAUUCUGGUUUAUUCUCAAAGCGAAGAAGAGCACGCAGAUCAUUUGAGGAUGGUAUUGCAGAGAUUGCGAGAGCACCAGUUGUAUGCAAAGUUGAGUAAGUGUGAGUUCUGGAUCAGUGAAGUCUUGUUUUUGGGUCACAUAAUCAACAAGGAAGGAUUGGCUGUGGAUCCGAAGAAAGUGGCAGACAUUUUGAACUGGAAAGCGCCAACAGAUGCUAGAGGAAUCAAGAGUUUCAUUGGAAUGGCCGGAUAUUAUCGGCGAUUCAUUGAAGGGUUUUCGAAGAUUGCGAAACCUAUGACAGCGUUGCUAGGCAACAAAGUUGAGUUCAAGUGGACCCAGAAAUGCCAAGAGGCCUUUGAAGCGCUGAAAGAGAAGUUGACUACAGCGCCUGUCCUAGUCUUGCCUGAUGUGCACAAGCCCUUCUCGGUGUAUUGUGAUGCUUGCUACACAGGUUUGGGAUGUGUGUUGAUGCAAGAGGGAAGAGUUGUGGCUUACUCGUCCCGACAGUUGAAGGUUCAUGAGAAGAAUUACCCAAUCCAUGAUCUAGAGUUGGCAGCAGUGGUUCAUGCACUGAAGACAUGGAGGCACUAUCUGUAUGGACAGAAAUGCGAUGUUUACACAGAUCACAAGAGUCUGAAGUACAUAUUCACUCAGUCAGAGUUGAACAUGAGGCAACGAAGAUGGUUAGAGCUGAUCAAAGACUAUGAGUUGGAGAUUCAUUACCAUCCAGGCAAAGCAAACGUAGUGGCAGAUGCUUUGAGCAGAAAGAGUCAAGUCAAUCUGAUGGUCGCUCGCCCGAUGCCUUAUGAGUUGGCCAAGGAGUUCGACAGGUUGAGUCUCGGGUUUCUGAACAAUUCGCGAGGAGUCACAGUUGAAUUGGAACCUACCUUGGAGCGUGAAAUCAAAGAAGCGCAGAAGAAUGAUGAGAAGAUCAGUGAGAUUCGGCAAUUGAUUCUAGAUGGCAGAGGCAAAGAUUUUCGAGAAGAUGCUGAAGGCGUGAUAUGGUUCAAAGACCGCUUGUGUGUUCCCAAUGUCCAGUCCAUUCGGGAGUUGAUUCUCAAGGAAGCUCAUGAGACAGCCUAUUCGAUUCACCCUGGCAGUGAGAAGAUGUAUCAGGAUCUGAAAAAGAAAUUCUGGUGGUACGGAAUAAAAAGGGAAAUCGCAGAGCAUGUGGCUAUGUGCGAUAGUUGCCGAAGAAUUAAGGCAGAGCACCAGAGACCAGCUGGAUUGUUGCAACCGUUGCAGAUCCCUCAGUGGAAAUGGGAUGAAAUUGGUAUGGAUUUCAUAGUCGGAUUGCCUCGCACUCGAGCCGGCUACGAUUCCAUUUGGGUAGUAGUGGACCGCUUGACCAAGUCAGCCCACUUCAUACCUGUCAAGACCAGCUACAACAGUGCAGUAUUGGCAGAGUUGUAUAUGUCUCGGAUCGUUUGUCUUCAUGGUGUGCCAAAGAAGAUAGUGUCAGACAGAGGAACGCAGUUCACCUCUCAUUUCUGGCAGCAGUUGCAUGAAGCUUUGGGCACGCAUCUGAAUUUCAGUUCAGCUUAUCAUCCGCAGACAGAUGGCCAGACCGAAAGAAUCAAUCAAAUUCUCGAAGACAUGUUGAGAGCCUGUGCGUUGCAAGAUCAGUCCGGAUGGGACAAGAGAUUGCCUUAUGCGGAGUUUUCCUAUAACAACAGUUAUCAGGCCAGUUUGAAGAUGUCACCAUUUCAGGCGCUCUAUGGAAGGAGUUGUAGAACUCCGUUGCAAUGGGAUCAGCCUGGAGAAAAGCAAGUGUUUGGGCCAGACAUUUUGCUUGAAGCCGAAGAGAACAUCAAGAUGGUCCGAGAGAAUCUGAAGAUAGCGCAAUCGAGGCAGCGAAGCUAUGCAGACACAAGAAGAAGAGAGCUGAGUUUCGAAGUCGGAGACUUUGUCUAUCUGAAAGUGUCACCGAUCAGAGGAGUCAGAAGAUUCGGAGUGAAAGGCAAGCUAGCACCCCGCUACAUUGGUCCGUAUCAGAUUCUUGCAAGACGUGGAGAAGUGGCCUAUCAGCUCAGUUUGCCCGAGAAUUUGUCUGCUGUGCAUGAUGUAUUUCAUGUGUCUCAGCUGAAGAAGUGCUUGCGUGUGCCAGAAGAGCAGUUGCCAGUGGAAGGUCUUGAAGUCCAGGAGGACUUGACCUACGUUGAGAAGCCAGUGCAGAUCCUUGAGAUUGCAGAUAGAGUCACCGAAGGAAGACCAUCAGAAUGUGCAAAGUCAGAUGGGAUCAUCACUCUGAGGAAGAAGCAACCUGGGAGCGUGAAGAUGAUCUGAUGGCCAAGUACCCUGAGCUCUUUGCUAGCCAGCCCUGAAUCUCGAGGGCGAGAUUCUUUUAAGGGGGAUAGGUUUGUAACGCCCCGAAUUUUGCAGUUGAUUUUUUUCUUUUCUUUACUCGCCAAAAUUCGGGCGUUACCUUUUCUUUUUCUUUUUUCCCUCGCUAAACCUUGACCUUUUCCAAAGUUCUAGCGGGAUUCGGUUUGGAAUUCCCGUGUAAUGAAAAACCCUAAAUACUUUAUGUUGUUUGAUGCACCAUGCCGAACCUUGCAUUUCUUUUGAUUGCUUUGAAAGUGCAAAUGCAUUCAUGUAGAAAGAUCGGAUUUCGAAAAUGAGGAGAAGAUCUUUUCUUUCUUUUUCUCUCUCUUUCUCUCUCCUCUUUUUCUCUCUCUCCCGCGCCGUGGGCCGACCCCGGCCGGCCCAGCCGCCCUGGCGCCCCCUCUUGGGCCUUGGCAAGCCCAGCCGCCCCCCCCCCCCACCUCCCCUUUUCCCCUCAAUUCCCCUCCCCUCCCUCUCAUUUUCCCUCUCUCUCCCUAGCGCUGCCCCUACCCGCCCCUGCCCUAAGCCGCCGCCGCCGCCCUCGCCGCCCCCACUGCCGGCCGCCCCUCGCCGUCGCUCCCCAACCGGAGCCCCCCCCUCUCCCUCUCCCCUCCCNNNNNNNNNNNNNNNNNNNNNNNNNNNNNNNNNNNNNNNNNNNNNNNNNNNNNNNNNNNNNNNNNNNNNNNNNNNNNNNNNNNNNNNNNNNNNNNNNNNNNNNNNNNNNNNNNNNNNNNNNNNNNNNNNNNNNNNNNNNNNNNNNNNNNNNNNNNNNNNNNNNNNNNNNNNNNNNNNNNNNNNNNNNNNNNNNNNNNNNNNNNNNNNNNNNNNNNNNNNNNNNNNNNNNNNNNNNNNNNNNNNNNNNNNNNNNNNNNNNNNNNNNNNNNNNNNNNNNNNNNNNNNNNNNNNNNNNNNNNNNNNNNNNNNNNNNNNNNNNNNNNNNNNNNNNNNNNNNNNNNNNNNNNNNNNNNNNNNNNNNNNNNNNNNNNNNNNNNNNNNNNNNNNNNNNNNNNNNNNNNNNNNNNNNNNNNNNNNNNNNNNNNNNNNNNNNNNNNNNNNNNNNNNNNNNNNNNNNNNNNNNNNNNNNNNNNNNNNNNNNNNNNNNNNNNNNNNNNNNNNNNNNNNNNNNNNNNNNNNNNNNNNNNNNNNNNNNNNNNNNNNNNNNNNNNNNNNNNNNNNNNNNNNNNNNNNNNNNNNNNNNNNNNNNNNNNNNNNNNNNNNNNNNNNNNNNNNNNNNNNNNNNNNNNNNNNNNNNNNNNNNNNNNNNNNNNNNNNNNNNNNNNNNNNNNNNNNNNNNNNNNNNNNNNNNNNNNNNNNNNNNNNNNNNNNNNNNNNNNNNNNNNNNNNNNNNNNNNNNNNNNNNNNNNNNNNNNNNNNNNNNNNNNNNNNNNNNNNNNNNNNNNNNNNNNNNNNNNNNNNNNNNNNNNNNNNNNNNNNNNNNNNNNNNNNNNNNNNNNNNNNNNNNNNNNNNNNNNNNNNNNNNNNNNNNNNNNNNNNNNNNNNNNNNNNNNNNNNNNNNNNNNNNNNNNNNNNNNNNNNNNNNNNNNNNNNNNNNNNNNNNNNNNNNNNNNNNNNNNNNNNNNNNNNNNNNNNNNNNNNNNNNNNNNNNNNNNNNNNNNNNNNAGCUUUAUGCUAUUGCUCAAACUCUAAUCAAUGAACAUGAUGAGAUUAUCUAUGAUACGCUGUUUUCCCCUCUCUUAUUAUGAUGUUAUGCUUGUGGUCUUCAAGGGGGCUCGAGCGGUUUCUCGAGUGCCUCUCCGUAAGGACCUGUUCUAUGGAUAAUUAGAGGAUCCGGGAAAACAGUGCAACCAUGAGGGUAGAAUGGGGUGCCCUUAGCUGAAUAAUUAGAGGAUCCGGGGUGUAGUUCACUUAGCCGUCGUGCCGUCAAUGGGGCUCGGUGUAUGCGGCUCGCUCUGCCAAGUUUGGGUUCGCCCCUUGGGGAGGAGUGCGGUGCAUUUAGGAAACCUAACGGGUGGCUACAGCCCCGGGGAAUCUUCGUAAAGGCUACGUAGUGAUGCCCUGCUAGGCCACCUAGGUAGUGGUCAAUGGGGAGUAGCUCUCUCCGGGCAGAAUGGGAAUCACGGCUUGUGGGUAAAGUGCACAACCUCUGCAGAGUGUUUGAAAACUGAUAUAUCAGCCGUGCUCGCGGUUAUGAGCGGCCAAGGGAGCUCCAGAGAUUAGUGAUACUUGAUCAGAGAUACUUUGGUACAGGUGACAAUGAGAUUGAUGGUUCUGAUUACGAUUAUGGUAUUGGUAAGUGGUAUUCUUUCCGUUUGGAAAGGAUACAUUGGGCUAAUAACUUGGGUUAAUGUUAAAACCUGGCUUUCUACUAGUAAGUAAUAACCUGACCAACUAAAAGCAACUGCUUGACUUAUCCCCACAUAAAGCUAGUCCACUACAGCCAAACAGGAUACUUGCUGAGUAUGUUGAUGUGUACUCACCCUUGCUCUACACACCAAACCCCCCCAGGUUGUCAGCAUUGCAACCACUGCUCAGGCGAAGAUGAAGCUGUGGAAGGAGACUUCCAGGAGUUCCAAGACUACGACGAGUUCUAGGUGUGGGUUAGCGGCAACCCCCAGUCGGCUGCCUGUGAAGGCCGCGUUAUCUACGUUUCUUUUCCGCACUUUGAUUUAUUGUAAGGACUAUAUGGACGUCUCAGACGUAUGAUGUAAUCGACUAUUUCCCUUAUUAAUACUAUUUUGAGCACUGUGUGAUGAUGUCCAUAUUAUGUAACUGCUGUGUACGUGAAUAACUGAUCCUGGCACGUACAUGGUUCGCAUUCGGUUUGCCUUCUAAAACCGGGUGUGACAUAAGUGGUAUCAAAGCCGUGCUGACUGUAGGACCGCUAACCUAGAGUAGAAUGGUCGUUCUAAGGACUAUAGACCUCUGUCCCUUCCUUGACUUUGUCAUCCCUUCAAAAGUUGGUCAUACCGACCAAACCUAAGAAUUCGCUUAACGGCCACAAGGUGACAUUCCUUAGGGUCAGAUUGAAAUCUAGCACACAUGCAUACACUAAGCAUAAUGUCCGGUCUACUAGCACAAAGAUAAAGUAAUGAACCUAUCAUUGACCGGUAUGCCUUUUGAUCAACGGACUUACCUCCUCUGUUGAGGUCAACGUGCCCGUCAGUUCCCAUCGGUGUCUUAGCGGGCUUGGCGUCCUUCAUCCCAAACCUCUUGAGAAGAUCCUGAGUGUACUUCGUUUGGGAGAUGAAAGUGCCGUUCUUGAGUUGCUUCACUUGGAAUCCAAGGAAGUAGGUCAACUCACCCAUCAUUGACAUCUCAAACUUUUGCAUCAUUACCCUGCUAAACUCCUCACAAGACUUUUGAUUAGUAGAACCAAAUAUUAUGUCAUCGACAUAAAUUUGGCAAACAAAUAGAUCACCAUUGCAUGUCUUUGUGAAAAGAGUGGGAUCGACUUUCCCAACCUUGAAAACAUUAGGAAUAAGGAAAUCUCUAAGGCAUUCAUACCAUGCUCUUGGGGCUUGCUUAAGUCCAUAGAGCGCCUUAGAGAGCUUGUACACAUGGUCGGGAUAGGUGUCAUCCUCAAAGCCAGAUGGUUGUUCCACGUAUACCUCCUCCUUGAUUGGCCCAUUUAGGAAAGCGCUCUUCACGUCCAUUUGGAAUAGCCUAAAAGAAUGGUGAGCGGCAUAGGCUAACAAAAUUCGAAUUGACUCUAACCUAGCCACAGGAGCAAAAGUCUCCUCGAAAUCCAAACCUGCGACUUGGGAAUAACCUUUUGCCACAAGUCGAGCCUUGUUUCUUGUCACCACCCCGUGCUCGUCUUGCUUGUUGCGAAACACCCACUUGGUUCUCACAAUGUUUUGCUUUGGACAUUGCACCAGACUCCAGACUUCAUUUCUUUUGAAGUUGUUUAGCUCUUCCUGCAUGGCCAACACCCAGUCCGGAUCCUGCAAGGCUUCUUCUACCCUAAAAGGCUCAAUAGAAGAGACAAACGAGUAAUGCUCACAAAAAUUAGCUAAUCAUGAGCGAGUAGUUACUCCAUUGCUGAUGUCACCCAGAAUUUGAUCGACGUGGUGAUGUUUUUGGAUCGUCGCUCGGACUUGAGUUGGAGGGGCCCAUGGUGCUUCUUCCUCCAUCACUUGAUCUUCCUAUGCUCCCCCUUGAUCCUUCCCUUCUUCUUGAGGUACCUAUACAUCGUCUUGGGUUGGGGGAUGCACCAUUGUAGAGGAAGAGGGUUGAUCUUGUUCAUGUAGUUCUUGUGGUCGCACAUCGCCUAUCGCCAUCGUGCGCAUUGCGGCCGUCGGGACUUCAUCCUCAUCUAUGUCAUCAAGAUCAACUUGCUCUCUUGGAGAGCCAUUAGUCUCAUCAAAUACAACGUCGCUAGAGACUUCAACUAAUCCUGAUGAUUUUUUGAAGACCCUAUACGCCUUUGUAUUUGAGUCAUACCCUAGUAAAAACCCUUCUACAGCCUUGUGAGCAAAUUUAGAAUGUCUACCUUUCUUCACCAAAAUGUAGCAUUUGCUCCCAAAUACACGAAAGUAAGAGACAUUGGGUUUGUUACCGAUAAGGAGUUCAUAGGAGGUCUUCUUGAGGAGGCGAUGCAGAUAGAGCCAGUUUAUGGCGUGGCAGGACGUGUUCACAGCUUCCGACCAAAACCGCUCGGGCGUCUUGAACUCUUCAGGCAUCGUUCUCGCCAUGUCGAUUAGUGUCUUGUUCUUCCUCUCUACCACACCGUUUUGCUGUGGUGUGUAGGGAGCGGAGAACUCGUGCUUGAUGCCUUCCUCCUCAAGAAACUCUUCAACUUGUAGAUUCUUAAACUCGGACCUGUUGUUGCUCCUUAUCUUCUUUACGUUUAGCUCAAAUUCGUUUUGAGCUCUCCUCAAGAAGCACUUUAGGGUCCCUUGGGUUUCUGACUUAUCCUGCAAAAAGAACACCCAAGUGAAGCGGGAAAAGUCAUCAAAAAUUACAAGACCAUACUUACUUCCCCCGAUGUUGAGGUAGGCAACGGGUCCGAAGAGAUCCAUGUAAAGAAGCUCCAGUGGUCUUGAUGUCGUCAUCACAUUCUUGUUGUGAUGAGUGCUUCCCACCUGUUUCCCUGCCUGACAUGCUGCACAAGGUCUGUAUUUCUCAAAACAGACAUCGGAUAGUCCUAACACAUGAUCUCCCUUUAGAAGCUUAUGAAGGUUCUUCAUCCCAACAUGUGCUAGACGACGAUGCCACAACCAGCCCGUGUUAGUCUUAGCUAUCAAGCAUGCAUCUAGAUCGGCAUUCUCUUUUGAAAAAUCAACUAAAUAGAGCUUGCUGUCUAAUACACCCUUAAAAGCUAAUGAACCAUCACUUCUUCUAAAGACAGAAACAUCUACAUUUGUGAAUAAACAAUUAUAACCCAUGUUGCAUAAUUGACUCAUAGACAAUAAGUUGUACCUGAGCGAUUCAACUAAAAACACAUUGGAGAUAGAAUGCUCGGAUGUGAUGGCUAUCUUUCUAUCUUUCCCAAUCCUUUAACCUUGCCUUGGUUCCCAUCUCCAAAGAUAAUUGCAUCUUGGGAAUCCUUGUUUUUGACGUAGGAGGUGAACAUCCUCUUCUUCCCCGUCAUGUGGUUUGUGCAUCCGCUGUCGAUAAUCCAACUUGAGCCCCCGGAUGCAUAAACCUGCAAGGCAAUUUAAGCUUGGGUUUUAGGUACCCAACUCUUGUGGGUCCUGCAAGGUUAGUCACAAUAACUUUUGGAACCCAAAUACAAGGCUUGUCUCCCUUGCAUUUGGAUCCCAACUUUCUAGCAACUACUUUUGCAUUCUUACAUGGAAGUACAAAAUAAGUGUUGCAAGCAUGAUAAAUGGUAGAAGGUCCAUUGCACAUUCUCCUAGGCAAGUGAUUCACAACAUGAUUUCUCCUAGGCCUACUUCUACCAUGAACAAAAGUGGAGCUAGGUGCAACCAUAGCAUGUGAAUCAUAAUAAGCAGCAUGAUCAUAACAUCUAUCAUUAUAAGUAUUCCUAGAAUAUUUCCUAUCAUAAAUAUAGGCAUGAUUCUUUUGGGAACUACUAGCCAUAGGGGCAUUCCCUUUCUCCUUGCUGAGAACGGGAGCCCUUUGGCUUGUUAAGUUCUUGGUUUCCUUUUGAAAACCAAGUCCAUCCUUAAUCGAGGGGUGUCUACCAACAGUGUAGGCAUCCCUAGCAAAUUUUAAUUUAUCAAAAUCAACUUUGCAAGUCUUAAGUUGAGUAUUAAGACUUGCCACCUCAUCAUUUAAUUUAGCAAUAGAAAUAAGAUGUUCAUCACAGGCAUUAACAUCAAAAUCCUUACAUUAAUUACAAAUAGUAACAUGCUCUACACAUGAACUAGUUUUAUUAACUUCCUCUAGCUUGGCAUUCAAUUCAUCAUUUAAAUUCUUUAGACUAGAGAUAGAUUCCUGACAAGCAGACAACUCAGAGGAUAGCAUUUCAUUUCUUUUAAGUUCUAAAGCAAGAGAUUUUUGAACACUAACAAACUUGUCAUGUUCCUCAUACAAAAUGUCAUCUUGCUUUUCUAGCAGUCUAUCCUUUUCAUUUAGAGCGUCAAUUAAUUCAUUAAUUUUCUCUACUUUGGCUCUAUCUAACCCUUUAAACAAACCAGAGUAAUCUACUUCAUCAUCGGAAGAUUCCUCAUCGCUAGAAGAAGAGUAUUUGGGGGUAUCUUGAAUAUGUACCUUAUUCUCCUUAGCCAUAAGGCAAGUAUGGCAUUCGUUGGGGAAGAGCGAAGUCUUGUUGAAGUCCGAGGCAGCCAGUCCUUCAUCGUCGGAGUCGGAUGAAGAGCAGUCAGAAUCCCAUUCCUUUCCCAGAUGAGCCUCGCCCUUCGCCUUCCUGUAAUUCUUUUUCUUUUCCCUCUUCCCGCUCUUUUCUUGUCCCUGGUCGUUAUCAUUAUCGGGGCAUUGUGCUAUAAAAUGACCAGUCUUACCGUAUUUGAAGCAAGAGGCUUUCCCUUUGUCUUAUUAUUGUUGGGGUACUCCUUGCGUCCUUUUAGCGCGGUCUUGAAGCGCUUGAUGAUAAGCGCCAUUUCGUCCUCGUUGAGUCCAGCAGCCUCCACUUGUGCUACCUUGCUUGGUAGUGCCUCCCUGCUGCUUGUUGCUUUGAGAGCAACGGGCUGUGGCUCGUAGACAGGUAGUGGACCAUUUAGCGUGUCGUCUACGUAUCGUGCUUCCUUCACCAUCAUGCGCCCGCUCACAAAUUUUCCAAGGAUCUUUUCGGGCGUCAUCUUGGUGUACCUGGGGUUUUCACGAAUAAGAUUGACAAGAUGGGGGGUCAAUAACAGUAAAUGACCUGAGCAUGAGUCGGACGACAUCAUGAUCCGUCCAUCUUGUGCUUUCGUAGCUUCGGAUCUUGUUGACCAGGGUCUUAAGCCUGUUGUAGGUCUGAGUUGGCUCCUCUACCCUGAUCAUCACGAACCUCCCCAGCUCGCCUUCCACUAUCUCCAUCUUGGUGAUCAUAGUGGCGUCGUUUCCCUCAUGAGAUAUCUUAAGGGUGUCCCAGAUCUGCUUAGGAUUGUCCAAACUGCUAACCUUGUUGUAUUCAUCCCUGCACAGAGAUGCUAGCAAAACAGUAGUGACUUGGGCAUUUUUAUGGAUUUGCUCAUUGAUAAACACAGGAUUAUCGUACUAUAAAAAUGCAUCCCAUUUUCUACAAUUUCCCAUAUACUAGGAUGAAGAGAGAAUAAAUGACUACGCAUUUUAUGGCUCCAAAAUGAAUAGUCCUCUCCAUCAAAGUGUGGAGGUUUUCCAAGGGGAAUUGAUAGUAAAUGCGCAUUUGAAUUGUAGGGAAUGCGAGAAUAAUCAAAAGAAUAAUUUUGAUUGACCGUCUUUUUCUUUGACGAGGAGUCGUCAUCGUUGUCCCUUGGUGAAGAAGAAGAUGCAUCGCUGUCGUAGUAGAUGAUCUUCUUGAUGCGUCUCUUCUUCUUCCUGUCCCUCUUCUUGUGACUCGAUCUUGAGUCAGUGGACUUGUCGUCUCUUGGCUCGUUGAAGAGGGACUCCUCCUUGUCGUUGACCAUCAUCCCCUUUCCCUUAGGAUCCUUCUCUUCGGGCGGUUAAUCCCUUAGAUGAAGAGUAUGACUCUGAUACCAAUUGAGAGCACCUAGAGAGGGGAUGAAUAAGUGAUCUUGUAAAAUCAAAUACUAAAUAGCCACAAACUUGAUUAUUAAGAUGUUAGUAAAAUCAAGUGGCUAUGGAACACGCUCGUGCGGACAAAACAAUCACAAGAAGCAACACACGAGACACGUGAUUUUUAUCCCGUGGUUCGGCCAAGUAACGCUUGCCUUCUUCCACGUUGUGGCGUCCCAAUGGACGAGGGUUGUACUCAACCCCUUUCAAGCGAUCCAAUGAUCAACUUGAAUACCACGACUUUAUUCCUUAUAGUCUUUCUCCCGUUUGCGAGGAAUAUCCACAGAUUGGAGCCUCUCGCCCUUACAAGUUUGUAACAAGAGAAGCACAGUAGUAUGAGAGGGAGAGCAACACACGCAAGACUCAAAUCCGCAGCACACACACGCACGCAAGCCAAGACUUGAGCUCAAAACACCGCACGGGGAGUACGCAACUCAAACGGAGCUCAAAUCACUAACACAGUCGAUCAAAUGCGUGGAGGCGAAGUCUGGAGUCUUAGAAUGUUUCUUGUAAGCUUAGUGUAUUGCUCCAUGCGCAUAGGGGUCCCUUUUAUAGCCCCAAGACAGCUAGGAGCCGUUGGAGACCAACUUGGAAGGCCAAUCUUGCCUUCUGUCGAGUGGUGACAGUCUGGUACACCACUGGACAGCCACUGUAGCAGUCCGAUGCGCAAUCUCCUUCCAAAUCGGGCGCAGCCGACCGUUGGUCCUUCGGGCCAGAUGGCGCACCGGACAGUCCGGUGCACCCAGCCAACCGUUGGAGCUGGCCACGUGUCGCGCGGUGAUCGCGCGGUCGACCGUUUGCCGCAGGCGCCGUUGGCUCACUGGACAGUCUGGUGCACCACCGGACAGUCCAGUGAAUUUUAGCCACGACGCCUUUUUCUUUUUCCGAGAGCGACGAGUUCGUCACGGAUGACUCACCGGACAGACCAGUGAAUUUUAGACGUACAACUCCGUCGUUUCCCGAGAGCAGCUUCGCCGGCUAGCCUGGGGCACCGGACACUGUCCGGUGCACCACCGGACAGUCCGGUGUGCCAGGCCGAGCUGGAGUUUGGUGUACAUAGCCAACUCUUCUUCAAUUGCAAUCUCCUUUUCUUGGCACUGUUUCUAGCACUUAGAUAAACAUGUUAGUAUUCAAAAACCAAUUUACUAAGUCUAGAAGCAUACCUUGUUAUAUGAUUUGCACUUCUCACUUAUUUAGCACAUAAGAACUUAAUCAACCGUGUUGGACAUUUAAUCACCAAAAUAUUAUAGAAAUAGCCAAGGGCACAUUUUCCUUUCAGACCAUGUUCGGUUACUAGUGGUUUGAGAGGGAUUGAAGGGGAUUAAAUCUCCUCCUAUUUAAUUUUGAAUAGGAGGGGAUUUAAUCUUCUUCAAUCCCCUCUAGUCCCCUAGCAACCGAACAAGCCCUCAACGAGCAAGACCUUUUUCUUGUCGAUUGUGGACUAAAGAAAGACAGUCAAUCAAGAGUUGUCCCACAAUGAUAAAGUUCUCGGGAUGUUGCUGAGAUUGUUCAUUGAUUAAGUCUUUUGUAGUUUAAUUUUUUAUUUGUGAUCGUAAUGAUAUUAAAAGAUAAUAUGAAUUAUGAUGUUUCAACAACAUAAUAAUCACGUAUAAAGGUGUGUCACUAUAUAAAAAUAUCUUAUUAUUGUAAGAUGUCUAGUUUUAAAUUUUUAUAUUUAAUAUUAUUAAAAAUGCUAAAAACUAAUAUAAAGUUUCGUCAAUAUAUUAAUAUAUCAGCGUAUAAAAUAAUAUCUUUCAUAGAUAAAUAAAUAUAGUUUUAAUAUUAAAAGUUUAGUUAUCAAUGUGGUCUACAACUUUUUUGUUUCUAAUUUUUUUGUUUGAGAUAAUUAAGAUGUACAAAAAAUAAUAUAAAUUUAAGAGAGCGUAUUAAACUUUUACCAUGAUUUAUCCUUUUAUAAAUAUCUUAUCGACACAUACACAUUUCAUAUAAAAGAUAUUUUUAUCCAACAAUAUAUUACAAGGAUAUGUUUUUUUUUUAAAACAAUUGCACUGUUGCGCGGCUAAUAUGUUCCUUAUAAUUUAUAUUAUUUUCUUAAACAUCUUAAUGGUCUAAAAUAAAAAAACUAAAAAUAGUUAAUAGCUACAAUUUUAAUAUAAACAUAAUCUUUAUUUGAUAUCUUACAAGAAUAAAAUAACAUUUUUAAGACGGCAAGCCACAUUUCGUGAUUAAUACGUCGACAAAACUUUAUAUUAUUUUUUAAAUCUUAGAGACCAUAAGUGUAAAAAUUAGAAAUUGAAGUUGCAGAUUUUAUUGAGGGAUAUAACUUUUAUUUAACAUCAUACAAUAAAGAUAAUAUUUUUAAGGCGACAAACGUAUAUAUACUAUUGUUAUGCUACUAAAAAUUCAUAUUAGUUUUUAGUAUUUAAAUGACCUUAACUGAAAAUACUUAAAACUAGAAAGAAAAAAGUUGUAGAUCUCAUAGAGCUCUUCAAUUUUUAUAUAAAAUCACAUUCAAUCGUCGCCGUAUGAAAUGUAUAACUUUUCUAAGGUUGGCCCUGACAACACCACUCUCGUUAACGAAACAACACUCAAGUUGACGUGACAAAAAGCAUAAGUUUGCUAUACGAAAAUUAUCAUCUAACAUGGCAGCUCUUGCCACGGCAACGUAUAUUGUGUGACAAGAUAAUAUUGUCACGUCAAGUGUGUUGGCACGACUAAAAUGAUUAAAAGUAAAAUAAAAAAUAAGUGAGGCUAUUUUUAAAAUAAAAUUUUUUUAAAAAAUUAGAAGUUAAAAAUAUUGCGGACAGGGGUCAAAAUAUGUGUCAUACGGUCCAUACCCACACUCAUGCUGAAGCCAGUAAAACAGAUAGUGAAAAUCACGGCCCAUACCCACACUCAUGCUGAAGCCAGUAAAACACAUAGUGAAAAUCUAGCAAAAGGCAGAGAAAUCGAGCUAGUAUUGCGCGUGCUCCAUUUGGUCUCUAGCAAAUAUAUUGCACGUGUAGUUCGUUGUACGGUGCCUCUAUUAACUUUUCUUUUCCACGUUUACCUCAGUUCCUUUCUUUAGGCAUGGGGUGCAACCGAGCUGUGACCUUGCAAACGCAAAAGGAGUGCGUUUAAACCGAACUGACAGCAUGUUACAUACACCAAAAUUGGAGUUCCCAGACAAGAGGAACGACAGUAUAAAAACCUUUGCCCCCUCCGACAGACUUCUUCAUCAGUCCACGAGCAAGCCAUCUUCUUCUUCUUCUUCCCCGACCUUCUCCCUUAAGGCCUCAACCAAGCAAAGGUUUGAUUUUACAUACCAGAGUAACGGACCCAGCGCCAGCUGGAACAACGACCAGAGACUCCGGCAUCCAGUCGACCAACGUACAAUGGGUUUCAUCCAAGGAAGGACCUCCAAGCAGACGAGCAGGGUUAAGACCCUUCUACGGCUCGCCUUGUCCCGCCUUGCCGCUGCCCGCCGUCCCCGCCUCGCUCGCAAGUCGAUUUCCCGCAGCGAUGUUGGACAGCUACUAGCACUCGGACACAUUGAUCGUGCUCUCCACCGUGUACGACCCCACCCUAACAUCGUCUAUUCGUCUCUAACCUCCCGGCCCGUCAAAUGGAGCUUCGUAUAGUCUGGCUUACCAAUGCUGCACCGUCUCUAUUAUUUCCAUGCAGGCAGAGCAGCUCAUAGAGGAGGACAACAUGCUGGAGGCGUUCAACAUAAUAGAGCUACACUGCAAUCGCCUCAUUGAGUGCGCAAAGCAGCUAGACAAGCCCCAGUACGCAUCUUUCUCUACACCCUCACAUCUGAGUUCAUCUUGUUCUCCCAUUUUGGCACUGUUGUUUGACACCACUUUUUUUUCCUUCUGCUUGCGUGACUAUUCUGUUCAAAUCUAAUCUGGUGUGCAGUGAAUGCGGUGAUGACAUUCGGGAGGCAGCCGCCGGGAUCAUGUUUGCAGCUAGGAGGUGCGGCGACCUGCCGGAGCUGACGUUUGCACGAACCAUACUGACAAACAAGUUUGGAGGCGAGUUCGCAGAGAUGGCUAAGGAGGGCGCUGGCGUCGUCGACCCCAUGGUAACUAGAACAACAUCCUAUGUUCAUUCAUGGCCCCAUCACAUCCAUACCAGAAACGGCGAGAGCUGGAAUUUACACGG
rnacentral:lncRNA from 1 species